AUUAAACAAUCUUCCAUACGUGAAAGUAUCCCUCGUCCUGACAGUUGUGCCCCUGACUCAUGUUUCUUUUACUGAAUUACCAUUACAGCUGUUGACGACUUCACCUUGUUCUCAUCCAGACUUGUAUUAUUUUCGUUUAGUUUUUGGGGAAGUGAAAGAGAGGGGUUGUGUUUUUUUUUUUUUUGGUCAACUAAACUUCAUUAAGAGGCCCAAAGGUCCAACAAGGUUCUCACAAGUCAAGCAACAGAGGCAAAUGACUAGGAAACCAAAAACAAACACCAACAACAAACGUCUGAAAACAGAAAACAACACAGAAGAGCANNNNNNNNNNNNNNNNNNNNNNNNNNNNNNNNNNNNNNNNNNNNNNNNNNNNNNNNNNNNNNNNNNNNNNNNNNNNNNNNNNNNNNNNNNNNNNNNNNNNNNNNNNNNNNNNNNNNNNNNNNNNNNNNNNNNNNNNNNNNNNNNNNNNNNNNNNNNNNNNNNNNNNNNNNNNNNNNNNNNNNNNNNNNNNNNNNNNNNNNNNNNNNNNNNNNNNNNNNNNNNNNNNNNNNNNNNNNNNNNNNNNNNNNNNNNNNNNNNNNNNNNNNNNNNNNNNNNNNNNNNNNNNNNNNNNNNNNNNNNNNNNNNNNNNNNNNNNNNNNNNNNNNNNNNNNNNNNNNNNNNNNNNNNNNNNNNNNNNNNNNNNNNNNNNNNNNNNNNNNNNNNNNNNNNNNNNNNNNNNNNNNNNNNNNNNNNNNNNNNNNNNNNNNNNNNNNNNNNNNNNNNNNNNNNNNNNNNNNNNNNNNNNNNNNNNNNNNNNNNNNNNNNNNNNNNNNNNNNNNNNNNNNNNNNNNNNNNNNNNNNNNNNNNNNNNNNNNNNNNNNNNNNNNNNNNNNNNNNNNNNNNNNNNNNNNNNNNNNNNNNNNNNNNNNNNNNNNNNNNNNNNNNNNNNNNNNNNNNNNNNNNNNNNNNNNNNNNNNNNNNNNNNNNNNNNNNNNNNNNNNNNNNNNNNNNNNNNNNNNNNNNNNNNNNNNNNNNNNNNNNNNNNNNNNNNNNNNNNNNNNNNNNNNNNNNNNNNNNNNNNNNNNNNNNNNNNNNNNNNNNNNNNNNNNNNNNNNNNNNNNNNNNNNNNNNNNNNNNNNNNNNNNNNNNNNNNNNNNNNNNNNNNNNNNNNNNNNNNNNNNNNNNNNNNNNNNNNNNNNNNNNNNNNNNNNNNNNNNNNNNNNNNNNNNNNNNNNNNNNNNNNNNNNNNNNNNNNNNNNNNNNNNNNNNNNNNNNNNNNNNNNNNNNNNNNNNNNNNNNNNNNNNNNNNNNNNNNNNNNNNNNNNNNNNNNNNNNNNNNNNNNNNNNNNNNNNNNNNNNNNNNNNNNNNNNNNNNNNNNNNNNNNNNNNNNNNNNNNNNNNNNNNNNNNNNNNNNNNNNNNNNNNNNNNNNNNNNNNNNNNNNNNNNNNNNNNNNNNNNNNNNNNNNNNNNNNNNNNNNNNNNNNNNNNNNNNNNNNNNNNNNNNNNNNNNNNNAUUUCCAACCUGCCAUCUUGCCCCAUCAACAAUUAAGCCUUUACCGUCUAAGAGGCUACUCCAUGCCCAAGAAGCACGAGAACCCUUUCCGGCAUUCAGGAUAUCAGAGUUAGGAUAGUAAAUUCCUUUUAAAAUCUGAGCACAUAAAGAAUCAGGAUCAGAAUGGAGCCUCCAUACUUGUUUAGCCAAGAGCGAGAUGUUAAACUCAUUUAGAUUUCUAAAGCCCAAACCACCAUAAUCUUUAGGCUGGCCGAGAAAAUCCCAACUCUUCCAAUAAAUUUUUUUCUCAUCCUUCUUUUGCCCCCACCAAAAAUUAGCCAUCAUCGCAUCAAGCUCAUUGCAUAGAGUGACUGGAAAUUUAAAACAAUGCAUAGGGAAGGUAGGAACAGCUUGAGCCACUGCUUUGAUAAGAGUUUCCCUCCCAGCCAUUGAUAAGGAGCAAAGUUUCCAAUUCUGAAUCUUGUCAGCCAGUUUAGAAAGAGAGGGGUUGUUGGUUUCAAAUAUCUUUCAUUGUGCUUGGAGAAAGAGAAGAUAGCGACCGAGCGGAUUUCAAUUGCUUAUCUUGCUGAAGCUAGAUUCACAGGUUAGGCCUCUGAUUCAACUCUUUAGAUUUGUUAAUCUCGAUUCGGAUCACUUCGUCUUCACUAUCGGGUCACACAUCCCAGUACUGCCUCUCAAAGUUUUGAUCUCUUUUUUGAUCGUGUUGAUUUGGGUUUCCUUCAUUUGCAUAUCUUAGACCAGGAAUAUUUUACUCGAUUCAGAUUAUCAUGUACUGGGAUCAAAUGAGUGCAAAGUCAUAGGCUUUCUAUGAUCCAGUAUACAUAUAUAUAUGUUUUGGAUUUGGCUACUCCAUCUUCGGGGUCUCUUUUUUCUUUUUCUUUUUCUUUUCUUUGUAUACACACACAUGUAUAUAUGUAACCCAGUUUUACUUUCCCAGAUGUUUAGCGUGCAUGUUGGUGUGAGUUCAAGAAUCAUUGAUUUUGUGAUAUUGUGUUUUCAGUGUAGUUUAUUUGAUGGAUUAUCAUAUGGGGCUGCUUUCCAUGGCAAUGGUUUUUAUCAGCAAAGCUGUGUACUCCUCACUUUCAAUGACACUUUUCAUUCUUCAGGUAUAAUCUUAACUUUCAUUUUUUUUUUUGUUGUCUUAGCAAUUUGCUUCUGGAACUCCAACUUGUUAGGAAGGGUCAUAUGUAAUGAGCCCUUUAGGAAAUUCUGUAAUUGGAUGGAUGUCACUACCAGGACAAGCACUUUAGCCGACGAAAAAGUUUCGUCGGCAUGUUAGCUUAAUUCGUCGGCUAAGAUUUCGUCGGGAAAAGGUCGUCGGCGAUGACUUUAGCCGACAAAUUUUUUUUUUUCGUCGGCUAUAGUCUCACAGUUAGCCGACGAAAAACAUGUCAUCGGUUUUUUUCCCAGACUUUAGCCGACGAAACAAUUAAGAUAUUCAUCGGCUAAAGUGUGUAAUAAAUAAUUCAAAAAUAAUUAUAGCCGACGAAAUAUACUAUAUUUCGUCGGCUAAACCUUAUAAAAAUUUAAAAAAUAACUAUAGCCGACGAACUAAACCUUAUAAAAAAAAUUUAAAAAUAACUAUAGCCGACGAAUUAUGGCAAUUCGUCGGCUAAACCUUAUAAAAAAAAAUUAAAAAAUACUAUAGCCGACGAAUAUAGUAUUUAAAUUUCGUCGGCUAAAGUUGCUAGGUUUCGAAAAAAAAAACUGCAGAAACUUUCGGCUACCUCCAAUCACGACCAAAAUUUGACAGAAUCUUCCUCUCAACAUUUCGAACAACUUUCUAGAAGAAGUCGAAGCUCAAUUCUAAGCCUAAACAGGUCAAUCGACUCAAAAUAUAAAAAUCCCCAAUUUUAAACCCUAAAAACUUCAAAUCUUCGAUUCUCUUCACACACACCGAAUCGAGCUACAAAAUUCUAGAGGAAUGUAGUACUAAUCAAACUCAACUUACCCAUAUAUAGAACUCACCAAAUGGUGACCUAAAGAAGGAGAAAUUCGAUCGACACCGAAUCCGAACCGGCGGAGUUUUGGAGCUUGAUUUAUCCCUCACGGCGGUGUCACUCAAUGCAUCACCUAUCCAGCAAUGAAGUAGAGACGACGGCGAAGCUUUGGGACAAGUGUGGCGGUCUCCGGUGGCUUGACGGCGGAGCUAGGCCGAGAAGAAAAUCUGGCAGAUAUAGACUCUUACCAUCCAUCUUCGCCUAUAUAAAGAACUUUAGCCGACGAAAUUCUUUAUUUUCGUCGGCUAAACUCUUUUGAAAAUUUUGGUUGACCGUCAAAAAAUUUUGGUUGAAAAUUUUGAAAAUUUUUCGACUUUAGCCGACGACUUUUCAUAUAUUUUCGUCGGCUAAAGUCCUUUGAAAAUUUUCCUCCAACUUUGGUUUACCGCCCAAAAAAUUUUGUAAUUUUUUGACCUUAGCCGACGACUUUUUUAAUAUCUCGUCGGCUAAAGUCUAUAAAUUCACGAAAACGCUCAUAUCUCCCCCUAUAUUACGUAGUUUGGUCAAACCUUUCACACGAAAAACUCUCACGUAGAUGAGACGCAACUGCCUAUAUAAAAAUUUUGAGACAUUUACCUUCCGACGAUAGGGCUCCCCAUAGGGAAUAAUAACGGUAAAUAGGGUUGACCGCUACUAUUGGCACCGAGACUUUACCCGAUUUACGUGAUUUUUGAACCAUAGCCGUAUUUCACCAUUUUGAACACAUCUUAUUUCACGAGAUUUUUAAUAAUUUUGCUUCCUAUGUAGAGUUGGUUCACAAAGUUGUAUAACCUACUAAACAAGUUAAACAACAUUAGUAGACACGUGAUUCCAAUGACUAAAAUUCACAAACCAAAAUUCUACCGUCAGAUAUGAUCAUUAUGACGAAAGAUGUCUAUGGUAAAAAAUUCAACUGGAUCCGACAACGUUAAGGGCUCGAUCGAAACGGUCAACCAUAAUCCAUCGUCACUUAUCACACGAAAACGCUCAAAUCUCCCUCUAUAUUACCUAGUUUGGUCAAACAUUCCACAGAAAAAACUCUCACGUAGAUGAAACGCAACUGCCCAUAUAAAAAUUUUGAGACAUUUACCUUCUGAUGAUAGGGCUCCUCAUAGGGAAUAAUAACGGUAAAUAGUAGACACGUGAUUCCGAUGACUAAAAUUCACAAACCAAAAUUCGACCGUCAGAUAUGAUCAUUAUGACGAAAGAUGUCUAUGGUAAAAAAUUCAACUGGAUUCGACAACGUUAAGGGCUCGAUCGAAACGGUCAACUCUAAUCGGAAAUAAGAAAACUGCAUUUUGAAGCCCUAAACGGACUCGGAUGGCCAAAAAGGCCUAUACAUCAUGGCAUUGGCCAUGAGUUUGACUCGUAGCGCCGUUACGCUUCCGGAAAGGUAUCACAAUAGUCAAUCAGACACCAAAUGCCAAAUCUGCAGCAUAGUGAAUAAUAAGAGUAAAUUGCAUUGACCGCAACUAUCGGCACCGAGACUUUACCGGAAUACCGUGAUUUUUCAACCGUAGACGUAUUUCACCAUUCUGAUCAUAUCUUAUUUCACGAUAUUUUUGCGUUUGAAGGUUCUACGUAUAGUUUUCGUCGGCUAAACUUUUAAAAAUUUCGUCGGCUAAAGUUCACAGACUAUAGCCGACGAAAAAAAUUAUUCAGCCGACGAAAUAUUAAUUUCGUCGGCUAAAGUUGACCAUAGCCGACGAAAAUUUUAAAUUAGCCAACGAAGGAAAAUUUCGUCGGCUAAAGUUUUUUAUUUUCGUCAGCUAAAGCCUUUCUUCUGGUAGUGUGUGGUUCAAUGGAAAUGGUCGGGAAGCAAAACUAGUUGAAGGCUUCAAGCUCAAGUCUGGAGAGACGUAUCUCAAUUCUGGGGCCAAUUGUAAACAGCAAAGAUUUUUAACCUUUCUGUAUUUGACUUUGAAACUUUCUUUCUUAAUGAUUCUUGUAACGGGGGAACUAUCUUCGAUGUCAUGUUUCUGGAAAUUCUGCUUCCAUCCUGCUACAGAGAAUGCAAGAAGAUGGAGGCUAGAAUCUCUGGGUGUUUUUUGUGUAACUCUAUGUUCUGUCUCAAUGUUUUCCUGUGUGAGGAUUCUGAUUUGGUACAUUGGUAUCUUCUAGUAUGAUCUCGAAAGCAGUCCUGCCUAGUGUUAGGGCCCAUCCUUGGGUCAUGGUGUAUGAAACUUGAAUAUCAUGUGAUACAAUCUAAACAGAUGAUAAUGAUGUCUUUUGCCUCAUGGGUGCAUGCAUAUUGUCGUAGGUGGGAACGGGGCAGGGGCCAGUAUUGGUCAGUUGGUUCUUUGUUGGCCAAUUGCUUCCUGUCCAGUUGAAGUUGCUUAGUGCGUGGCUAAUUUGAUUCUGCUAUGCUGUGCUUACUUUCUAUUUUUAAUACAUGAAAUGAGUUUUGGUAUGUUAGGAAGACUAUGUAGUUCUGGAGUUCCAUGAUGCUAGUUGUGUUUUGGUUAAUCUGUGCUGUUGAACAUACUCUGUAUAUUACUAACUUAAUUAACGUACAGCAGUUCGAGUGAUUGACUUGAAUGUACGUCAACAGGUCAAGCACUUGGUUCUGAACCUACAUUGCCUUGAGUUCGGAUGAGCCCAAUGGAGAAAUCUAUUUGGUGCUGUUAAAUUUGCUUCUGCUGGCAUUAGAGUCCUCAUGACACCAGACUUCAGCAUGUAAGUUGGAUACCAAAUAGUACGUUACCGUUAAGUUGAAGUGUUAUUUUCAAUAGUGAUAUUGUUGGAUGGGUUUUUGUUAGAAGAAGUGGACACAAAGGUUUUUGAAUGUGCUUUUGGAAAUUAAAAAAAAAAAAAAAAAAAAAAAAAAAAACUGAUGUACAAGAUGUCAAAUUUUAAAUUUUAAAUUUAAUCAAAUCCAAUAUGUACAAGCUACUGUAUAUUUCUAAAGUAUUUAUAUAUGUUAAAUACGUCAUUGCUUUCAGAAGCUUGCAGAAAAGUUCAUUGCUGAUGUAGAUUGUACCAAUGCAGGUGAAAUAACGUAACUGAUCAUAAAGCCUUUUUAAAUCCUGUCAUAUUUUUGUUUGUACGCCACAACUUGGCUUGAUACACUAAUAUCCAUCCUUUAUGCAGGAGAAAGUAGAGAUAUAAAUUAGAAAGUUAUGUAAAAGCCUUAUGCUCCAAAGCUUCAAACCUUAGCGAUUUUGGAAGACAUGCGGGUAAGUAGACUAUGAAUUACUUUUGUUUUGCAAGGUCAUCUUAUGUUCUCUAGAUAAUGUGAUCUCACAUUUGUACUGUAAUUUGCUUAAUUUGAGAAUGUUUUCCCAAGUGAUUGAUAUCAACUAGGUUGUGUACUAGACUAUUAUUUUGCUUUAAAUGUAUACAUUCAAUUUAAACUUUUUGAUUUGGCAAGGAUGUUGUUUUGCCUUUGAUUUUGAGGUAGUAUGUUUGAGUGUUUGACUUAUGAAUUUCUUGAACCUUGCAAGGUGUGGCCAGCAUUCUCCAUUGUGAUUUUGAAGAAAUGCAGCUCAUUAGGAAAACGUACAGUUGGGUCCAGAGUUAGAUGAGUCUGGAAGCAUAGUUAUUGAAGCCAUACUUCUGUAGGUAUCAGAGAAGGUUAAUCUUAAGUUGCCUUUGUAAGUCAGGUUAAUUAUAACAUGUUUCUUGUCGAUGUAGAUUGUUUUUAUUUGUUUAACUUUUUAUUUGGUUAGCUGUUUGUAAAUUGUAAUUACGAUACUUGAAUUGUGGACGGGGAGAUUUAAUAUAGCAACUGGGUUUCUGUUGAUUACAUAGGUUCACUUCUAGUAUCCGAUUCAUAAUAAUUUUUUUUAAAAAAUCAGUUUUAAUGAAGCCACAAAACCCAAAACAAUCGUGGGUGACUUGUAUGAAUAUAAUGUAGAUAUUGGCACGAUUGAUAAACAAUCGUGAGCUCUUUUGACAGUUUGUGGUGGUAGGUCCUAAAGUGGGGUCCAUGUAAGAAGUCUCACGAUUGCAGGGCAAUUGUGAUAAUAUUUAGCAACAGCCACGGCAUUAAAGGCCACAUUCCUUAAAAAUGUUGCUGCAUCGUGGGUAAAGUCCACAGCCACAAUCAUUCGUGGGCAAAGGAGUCAAAGCCCACAAAUAGGAAACGUGGGUACUAGAGGUUUUUUUUGUAGUGGACAACAGAAGCCAUGCCAUUCACAGAUUAUAAAGCUUCCCCAUCCAAUCUAAUGAAGAAUCAUGGACCAAUAGAGCCCAACAGUGUUACAGUACACCAGUGCUAAUGGUAUUUUAGGGCAAAUAUGCUCAUGACUUCACUGAGUAACUGUGAAGGAAAACUACAACCACCAGAGCUUAAGCCCCAAAGCAACAGUAGAGUUACACUAUUUUUAGCCUAACCGGGAAAAUAAAACUUAGCUUGUAAAGAAUUACUUGCUCAUUCAUUCAAGUGAACAUCACAAAUCUCGAACCUACCUAGCUAGCUAGCUCGAAGUACCAAGUCAACUAGCUAGGGAAACUAGUUAAGGAGACAUGUAUUAUCCCAUCGGUUCUAUUCCCGAUUCAUAACUCGAAAGUUUUUCUGGCCUUUUGCUAAUCGGGGCUAAAACUCCGGAAAUGAAAAAUUCCAAAAUAGGAAUAACACUUGAGACUAUCAAAAAUGCCCAGAAAAAAUCAUAGGUAGAUAGGUAUUACGCUAGUUGAAUCUGCAUGCUGUCACUAGUUAUCGCUUGGAAAAUUUCCACAAGUCAUGUCAUAUUCAGACUGCAAAUUAGAAAUUUUCCACCAGUCAUCUUCGUAUUGGAAAAGGAAAUUGUUUAAUACCAUUUACACCUACUUGGGCACCUUGACGAAAUGAUCUUACCGUCUAGAAACUGACAUAAACUAAUAAACCAAACAAGUUACAACUUACAACUACAACCUGUCACCGUGAUCAUCAAGCAUAACGGAAAACGAAUUGUCACAUUGACAUUGCAUAGAAUAAUUAGUUGGUUGCAUAAAAUUAUCGAUGAAAAUGGAAGUUGUGCCACUUGUGCCCCGUCAGUCAAUUUAUAGUGAUGUGUGGUGGAAAAAAAAUAAAUUCAAAAGCCAACUAUAAACUUUUGCCACCUGAUCAGAAAACAAAUCACGUAUAUAUAGGCAGAAGGAUCCUGGCUUGGCAAAUCAGGGACCUCAAGCUUUCGUUUUCUUGAAACCGAUUGAUCUCGUAACUUUGCUUGACUUUGAAAGUUUUGGGCUUACCAAGUGGCUUCAGGAAAUAAGAGAGACGACCAAGGCAUUUUGGUUCACUCACAACCUCAACCUAUUCAAUUUGUCUACAAAAAGCGAGCUUGCAAGCACAACUUAUUCAGUAAUAAGAAAUACAGUUCAUACAUUUAUACCUCUCAGUUUAAGUUCCAGAAUCAAUUGGUGCAUGCAGGUUACUAAGUAAGUAGUUUGAGUAUAUUCAUGGUCACAACUUUUGCAUGAUAAAUCGAUGCAUAGUUAAGUGCAUCAAUGCAUGGAUAAAUUUAUGAUGUGCCUCUUAAUCUUCUUAAAGAGGAGGAUGAAAGGUUGGUUGGUUCAUUGUUCCACACCCGGAAAUAAUGGAAGAAGACCUCGAUCAACAUAUUGCAAAUGUUAUAUUCCUAUAAGUCAGUAUAUCCGCUAGCGAAAGUUAUCCUAUAAGUCUAUAACUCCAUAAGGUUUAACCCCAUGAAUGAUGGAAGCCGAAGCCCUAUGUAUGUUUAGUCUCGAGUUAUAAAAUAUAUACAAGAAGUGAACUAAUUAAUCGAGCCAAGACUUUAGGUUCAAGUUUUGUAACGUAAAUUAUGAGUUCUAUUAAUUAGUCUAGUUAGGUGUAAACGCAACGUACUUCUUUAUUAUUCAAGCCUUAUUUUUUGAGUUAACAAACAUAAACAAAGAUGCUAUCAACUAAACAAAAAAAAUAAGUUCAGUCUAAUCUAUACACCGUUAUUCCUUCUUCUUUUAAUUGAUAAUUUAUAUAGAAUGUGAAACAAUGUAUAAUGUUUUUCAUUUGGUAUCUCAAAGUGAGAUUGAUUAGGACCAAGAAAGGAAAACAAAAAGAAAGACUCUGCUCCCUUCGCUGGCUAGAUAAUUGACUAUUAAUGCAUGCGGGCUUCAUUGACCAUUAGUUUCAUACUUCCGGUUUGGCCAGAAAAAAAAAAAAAAUUUGAAAAUACUAUCAUUAUGUCCAGUUAAAUUCUAAAGAAAUACCAUAAUGGGAACAUAUAUGAUAGAUUGAUGGUCAGAAGACCCCUAUAAAAGACAUUGCACAACUCACUUUCAGAUCAUAAACAUACACAAAUUAGUAACAUAUAUCGUGAGUUAUUCCUUAUAAUCACUCGCGCAAUACUUGAAUGCCAUGGCCUUAAUACAUGGUAGGAUGCAAAUGCUUAUUAUCCAACUCUCUUUGUUAAUGGUGGCAGUAACCCUAGCAUCUUCUCAAGCGCCAAGGCCUGCAACCUGCUCCGACCGCUGCGGUGAUGUCGAAAUCCCAUAUCCAUUCGGCAUAGAGCCUAGCUGUUACAUGGAGGUGCCGGAACAAGAUGAACAGCAAUAUUCAAGGUCACCUGUGACCAGGCCACCACGCCACCGUUACUCAAGUUCUUGAACGGUGAUAUCCUCAACCAAAGCAUUACUAACAUUUCUGUAGGUGAGAGUAAGAUGCAAGUAAUGCUGCCCACAUCCCGGAACUGCUACACCGACGGUUACUACAACGAUUCUUUGUACAGAAACAGUGAGCUCAUCCUCCCCUCUGGUUACACCAUCUCUGAUAAGAACAAGGUUUAUAUCAUUGGAUGUAACAAAAUAGCACUAUACCAAGGUUUUGUCACCCAAUUCAAGUCGAGCCAGAGCGAACAGAAAUCGAGAAGCUGGGGACAACCGGCGUGAGCUUGUGCCAAGAUCUACUCGGAGCGUUGUCCAACAAUUGCAGUGGCGUCGGGUGUACCCAAAGGACCAUCAUAAGUGGACUUCACAGUAUUAACUUGGAUGUGUGGACAAUCGGUACAGGCCUUGGAAGCACAUCACAGUGGGCACUAGACUACCCGUGCAGCUACGGUUUCAUUGUGGAUGAUCGCAAUUUCACCUUCGCCGGGAAUGCAACUUUUAAAGAGAUGGACAGCAGCACAAACUCGCCGGAGCUUCCGGUGGCUGUUAACUGGGAAAUUGAAAAGGACAACUGUGAAGUUGCCCUCAAUAAUCAAACUUCUUAUGCAUGCAAGGCCGCAAAUACUGAAUGUGUCAACGGCACUUCAGGUGGAUAUUUCUGCCGGUGCCAGAAAGGUUACCAAGGGAACCCUUACGUCCUUGGUGGUUGCGAAGGUAAAAAUCUUUUACAUUAAGCUCGUAAAUGUUUACCUGAUCCACAUCUAACUAAUAUAUACGUUUGUUUUUCGGUUUUAAUUUCAGAUGUUAACGAGUGUACUAAUUCGACCAUCUGCCAUCCUACUUCAACAUGCAAAAAUUUAGUAGGAAGUUACACUUGUAAAUGUCCCAAGGGGCGCCAAACAAAUGACGACAAUAACAACAAUCCUUGUGUCAAAAUCAUCGGAAAACCAAAGAAUACUUCCCUCCAAAUUUCACUGGGUAUGGAUUUGCUAUCACUGAGCAGAAACUUCUUAUUAUCGUUUGUACGUCAUAUUGAGUUGUAUCAUGAUUAUGUGCAGGUGUCUGUUUGAGCUUCCUUGUCGUAUUGAUUAUAACAUUUUGGAUAUACUGCGUAAUGAAAAGAAGAAAGUUCAAGCAACUCAAAGAGAAGUACUUCAAAGACAAUGGUGGCUUCUUGUUACAACAAAAAUUGGAGAAUUUUGACGGACCUCAAGCAGCCAAGAUCUUUACAAGAGAAGAGCUUAACAAGGCCACAAACAACUUCGAUGACAGCGGAAAAAUUGGCGAAGGUGGCUACGGAUUUGUUUACAAAGGAACAUUGCCGGAUAGAAAGGAGGUUGCCAUAAAGGUGUCGAAGAGUAAUGCCCCAAUGACCCAAAGUAAUCAGUUCAUCAAUGAGGUGAUUGUUCUUUCACAAAUCAACCAUAGAAAUGUGGUGAGGCUCCUAGGUUGUUGCUUAGAGACUCAAACUCCUUUGUUAGUUUACGAGUUUGUUAGCAAUGGCACACUUUAUGAGCACAUUCAUAAGAAGAAUGGCAAGGAUCUGCUUUCUUUUGGGUUACGAAUGAAGAUAGCAGCAGAAACAGCAGGAUCCCUAGCAUACUUGCACUACUCCACAUCCAUGCAAAUCGUGCACCGAGAUGUGAAGGCAACUAACAUCCUACUGGAUGAGAAUUUCACUGCCAAAGUAUCAGAUUUUGGAGCUUCAAAAUUGGUUCCCGAAGAUCAAAAUCAACUGUCUACUUUAGUGCAAGGCACGCUAGGGUACUUGGACCCUGAAUAUCUUCAAUCAAACACACUGACGAAGAAAAGUGAUGUCUAUAGUUUCGGCGUUGUUCUUGUCGAGCUUAUAACGAGUCAAGUGGCAAUUUCUCACAAGAAGCCUGAGGCAGAGAGAAACCUAGCGAACUGUUUUGUAACGUCAGUGGAAGAGAAUCGCUUGGCUCAUAUUCUUGAUCUUGAAAUUAUCAAGGAGGGAAGCUUUGAAAUAGCUGAACAAGUAGCCCAUCUCGCCAAAAGAUGUUUAAGUUUGAAAGGAGGAGAUAGGCCUACCAUGAAAGAAGUAGCAAUGGAGCUAGAGGCAAUACUGGCUGUUAUGUCAAAGCAUCCAGGAGGAAAGCCUGACUCCUCCCCCAAAGAGACCGAUUACUUGCUUGCAGCGUCACCUUCAAACGCUUGCGUUGUUGAUGUUAGAAGUGAUGAAGGUGAAGUCAUAACCAGCAUAGAUUAUGACCAGAGCAUGCAGAUUCAAUCCCAGAUGAUGAAGCCUCAUGAUGGUGGGAGAUAGUUCAUCAAUUUGCUAGCUUCUCUUUCAUAGCUAGCUAGUUAUGUGUGGAGUUGUUCUUAAUUUUCUUUACUACUUUUGAGUAUGCCGUGUUAAAUAAAAGAUGUAUGAUCAUACUAUGAUUAUUCCUUCUUUGAACAACACUUCGAUUUAUGUUCAUAACCAAUUAUGAUUACGUAUAUGACUUCAACCGAAGAUGUUACGUUAAGAUCUGAACAUUAUGAUGCAUUCAUGCAAAGAAUAUUUAUGAUACAGUACCUACAAUAUCCAAUGCUGGAUCUUAACUUAAUACGAGUAUAUGUCAAUAAACAAUUAAAUGACAGCUAUAAGAAGUUAAGUAAGAUCUGAACAUUAUGAUGCAUUCAUGCAAAUAAUAUUUAUGAUACAGUACCUACAAUAUCCAAUGUUGGAUCUUAACUUGAUGAGACCCAUGUACUUCUGUGACAGUGAAUAUAAGAACCAAAGUUACAUACAGUUAAAUUAAAUGAUGAUCAUAAAGGCAAUAGCAGUAAAAUAAACUCACCCAAAUAAACCGAUGGAGUUGAGGUCGAUGAUAAUAGCAGCAAUCAUAAAAUUACACUAGGCAUCCAGGUUUAUAUGCAGAGAAAUACCAGUAUACCAUGAUUAAAAAAUACCUCAAUUUUCUAGUCCAGGUUAUAUUAUAUGCAGAGAGCAACUAACAAAGGUCAAAAAGAAGAGGCAUCCCACUAUAUGGCACUGCAUAUACUUGCAUAAAGUCAUUAAGACUGACAAGCAUUAUGGCCAACAAAGCAAGUCCAAAGAAGAACAAAUAACUAAACUCAAGUCGACCUAUCCACCUAAAAAUUAGCAAAGAGGUAUAUAUGCCUGAGCAGCUAUCUGAUGAAGACAUAAUAUUCUGCUAGAGGAUCUCAUAGUCUAGGUACAAAACGCUAGACAAAGAUGCAUCGAAUGAAUAAUCUAAAUAGACUAUUUCACCAGAUUUUGCUCCACACGAACAACAGGUUCAUAAUAAGAUCCACAUUCUCUUAACGAGUCAAAAUAGGUUAUGUACCUUAAGAGCAUGGUAUGGUGGAGUCCUCUUGCUCUUGGAACAACAACGACCGUGUUUUUUGCUAGGAUAUGUUUUUACAAGAACGCGUAUCUAAACUGCAAGGUUUGGACCAACGGUGUGUUCCAUAGCUUGCUUCUUAACAAUGUUCUCCUCUUCCAGGACAUCUUCGUCAUCAGGACCAGUAUGCUCAGGUGGUGGAAUUGAACCUAUCUAACUACAAACACCGUCCUCUACCCAAAGAGAGCUAGAGGAACACAAAAGUAUCAAGUCACAACUCAUAAGUACAACUCAGAAAGGAAAGUUGAGCAGAUACUGAAUUUCAGUAUUUUUACCUUCCACUUUGUUUCCACUUUUCCCUAUCCAGUAUCCUGGCUUUAAAAAGUAGAACACUGACUUCCUCACACCAGAUACAUUUGGGAUGAUAUUACCGAAGUAGAUAGCCAAUGCGAACCGGAGGAAGAAUGUACGUAGCCGCUAGCCAUUCAUAUAUAUCAUUCUAACAAAGUUCAAAUGAAUAUGUUAGGGAAUCAGAGAAAUGUAUACGUAAUGGUUUGGAACUUUGGAUAAUGAAAAUUAAUUAAUGUGUUUACAUGAAAUAUAGAUUAUGUUACUAGAAACAAACUCAUAACAAAGAGUUUAAGAAUCUUGACCUUUGGAGCCUUGUCUGGGUUACAUAGCNNNNNNNNNNNNNNNNNNNNNNNNNNNNNNNNNNNNNNNNNNNNNNNNNNNNNNNNNNNNNNNNNNNNNNNNNNNNNNNNNNNNNNNNNNNNNNNNNNNNNNNNNNNNNNNNNNNNNNNNNNNNNNNNNNNNNNNNNNNNNNNNNNNNNNNNNNNNNNNNNNNNNNNNNNNNNNNNNNNNNNNNNNNNNNNNNNNNNNNNNNNNNNNNNNNNNNNNNNNNNNNNNNNNNNNNNNNNNNNNNNNNNNNNNNNNNNNNNNNNNNNNNNNNNNNNNNNNNNNNNNNNNNNNNNNNNNNNNNNNNNNNNNNNNNNNNNNNNNNNNNNNNNNNNNNNNNNNNNNNNNNNNNNNNNNNNNNNNNNNNNNNNNNNNNNNNNNNNNNNNNNNNNNNNNNNNNNNNNNNNNNNNNNNNNNNNNNNNNNNNNNNNNNNNNNNNNNNNNNNNNNNNNNNNNNNNNNNNNNNNNNNNNNNNNNNNNNNNNNNNNNNNNNNNNNNNNNNNNNNNNNNNNNNNNNNNNNNNNNNNNNNNNNNNNNNNNNNNNNNNNNNNNNNNNNNNNNNNNNNNNNNNNNNNNNNNNNNNNNNNNNNNNNNNNNNNNNNNNNNNNNNNNNNNNNNNNNNNNNNNNNNNNNNNNNNNNNNNNNNNNNNNNNNNNNNNNNNNNNNNNNNNNNNNNNNNNNNNNNNNNNNNNNNNNNNNNNNNNNNNNNNNNNNNNNNNNNNNNNNNNNNNNNNNNNNNNNNNNNNNNNNNNNNNNNNNNNNNNNNNNNNNNNNNNNNNNNNNNNNNNNNNNNNNNNNNNNNNNNNNNNNNNNNNNNNNNNNNNNNNNNNNNNNNNNNNNNNNNNNNNNNNNNNNNNNNNNNNNNNNNNNNNNNNNNNNNNNNNNNNNNNNNNNNNNNNNNNNNNNNNNNNNNNNNNNNNNNNNNNNNNNNNNNNNNNNNNNNNNNNNNNNNNNNNNNNNNNNNNNNNNNGAUGGAGAAACCAACAGUCAUGGUGGAAGAUGAAUUCCACAAAACUCAAGUCGACCUAUCCUCAUUCAUAACAUUCCACAAAAACACAUAUGCAUCAACAAAACAACGAAUUGUAAAUCGAGCAUGUUGGUACCUGAUUGGUAACAGCCUUGGCCAUGCGAGGGAAUUCCUUCCUCAUCACAGACUUGUGAACCAAGCUCGCAGGCUUGUUCCUCCUUCUUGGUGAUCUCCCAGAUCAGCUGUCCUGGAACGGUGGCCAUUGGAAACCUAGCAAAACCUGGAGAAGAAAGAGAGAGAAAGAGAGAGAUUCCAUUCCUCUUCUUCCUCCAAUCUCUAAAUCCCAACCACCAUGUCUCCCAAUUCUCAGCAUCUCUCUCACUCCCACGCGCCGCCGCCUCCCCUACAGCUCGUCUCCAUCGAUCCCAAAAUCUGGCGAGCCUGCGCCGGCAACUCCGUCUCCAUCCCCACCCUCCAUACUAGGGUUUACUACUUCCCCUAAGGCCACCUCGAACACUCCACCAACUCCGCUUCUUCUCUCCCCUCGUGUUCUCUCCAAGCCCCUCAUUCUCUGCCGCAUCGCCGCCGUCGACUUCCUCGCCAAUCCCACCACCAACGAGAUCGUCACCAAGGUCCUCCUCCACCCCGUCCAUCCUGGACUCUCCUCUCACCACGGCUCUGCCGUUAACCUGGAAAGGUCGAGAUUGAGAUUGACGUUGGCCGACUUGGCGAGCUCGGGCUUGGUCGGGCUUGGCCGCGCGCCUCUUCCGGGUGGUGGCCUUGACGGUGGACAUGGUUUGCGAGGGUUUGGAGAUUUAGGGUUUGGGAGGUUGAAAUUGGGGCAGAUCUGGGUCUCCAGAUCUAGAUGAGAGAAAUUGGUUUUAGGGUAUUAGAUAGAGGAGAGGAUUCGAUCAAUUUGAGAAUGUGAAGAGGAGAGAAUUUGGUUUUUAGGGAGGAGGAAGAGAGGUUUUGGUUCUGUGGGUGAGGAACGUUGAGAGAGAGAAAAGAGAGUUGAGAAAAGUAAAGAAAUGUAUCGGGGGGAGUUGAGAGAAUGAGAGUUGGUUUUAAGUGUCAAAAAAAACUCCCCCAAUUAUGCCAAAAAAAAAAACAGCUUCAGACACAUUUAAGUUUCUUCACCAUACGACAGUUUUCUGUCGUCUUAUAAGUGUAACAUUAGGGUACAUUUUUCCUUGUUUUUUGAACGACAAACGUAUGUCGUCUCAAAAACACGUUAAUUUUAACUACUAUUGAGUUGCUAUUUUCAGACGACACUCUUUUAAAUGUCUGUCGUUACAAUAUUCGGGACGACAGACUAAAAGUCUUUUGUCGUCUGAACCCAGUCGUCUGAAGCCAAAAAGGACGUAGUGCUUACUUACUUCUUAUUGCUGAAAUUUAAUUAUUUAUUGACAUAUACUCAUAUUGAUUCACUAAAGUUCUUUGUCUUCAAUGUUGCAGGUGACACUUGAAUGAAUGGUGCAUAUUGGAGUUUGAUGAGUAUGAUGAAAGUAUCAGAGUGCCUUAGUGCAGUUAGGACUUAGGAGGACUUUCUGCACACCACCAUAUUGUAGUUGCUAUUAUUUGGUUUGAUAUUUUUUAUAUUUUAUAGCUUAUGGGUCCCUUUAGAAUAAAUAACUCUUUGUAAUUUGAUUGGUUUUGGUAAUAAGAAUGAAUUUGAGAUUUCUGAAUCAUGUUGUGCAAAUGCUUUAUUAAAUUGUCAUCCAAAUUAAAAUCAGACAACAGAUAUCCCCAUGGACAUCGACGUCUCUACAUAUUCAAACGACAUUUAUAUGUCGUCUUAAAGUAAAAGAUGACCAUAGUAUAUGUCGUCUGAGGUAAGUAUCAGACGACAGAUAAGUGACGUUUGAAUGCAUUUGAGUCGAGAGAAGAGGUUUGACGUAUGUCGUCUGAGAUAUAUUUAGACGACAAAAUAGUAACGUGUGAAUAAGUUUGAGACGAGAGACGGCUGCUCACAUCUUUAGUAUUACUUUAGUUUCGACGAUACUUUUAUGUCGUUAAGAAGCUUUCUAACGACAGAAACUUUAAUUUUGUUACGAAUGUAGGUGCAUACAGACGACAGUUGCUUAUAUACAAUUUGUCGUCGAAGUUGUAUCAGACGUCUAACGAGGUCUGUCGACUGAAUGCUUAUCAGAUGACUGCUUGAUAGACGACAGCUGAAAAAACAUUCAGACGACCGACCUGGCAGGUCGUCUGAAGCCAAAAUUGACGUAGUGAAUCUACGUACACCAAAAAUCACUAGCAAAUAUGAACAUGAACAUAAGGCUCAACUAUGGCUUCAUCGGUUUGAUAGGCUCCACCUGAGCCAUGUCAUACCGAUCUCUUGGGCUUGACUUCAUUGUUGGGUGAUGUAGGAAGGAUGGCAGAAGCAAUCGAGGAACAGACAUUCAGUUGGGUAGCUGACAUUCAGUUUAUCAAUUAUAAUUCAGAUCUUAAGAGUUUACUCUUAGUUUCCUGGCGCGCUCCAGGUUUUGGUCCUAUAGAGUUAUUCGCUGGAAGGCGAGCACUUAUUGGGGUUUAAUGCUGGUUAGCCCUCCAUACUCCUGCUGCGUCAAGUGGUAUCUGGAGCCAGACGUUCCUGUCUCUUGUAUCCUUGAUCAUGGGUGACGUACCGAUUACUAGAGCAGACUUAGAAGGUAUCCUAGAAGGUGUUACUGCGACUUUUACCGCAGCCCUUGCUACGUUGACUAAUCAGGUGAACGAAUUGAAGACUGAUAAUAACAAUAAGAAGCGUGGAGAAAGCAGAGAUAUUCCUCAACAUAGGGUUCUACGAGGGAGAGGAACCACAAUUGCUAGCUGCUCUGAGUCUGAUUCAGAAGAUGAAGCGGUUGAUCAUGCGCAAUUAGGGCAAGAUGAUAAGGAUUUCAGGAUGAAGGUUGAUAUCCCUUUCUUUAAUGGGAUGAUGAACGUGGAGGAAUUUGUGGAUUGGCAAAUUGAAGUGGACAGAUUCAUGGAGCAUAUGAAUGUCGCAGAACAUAAGCAAGUGAAGUUGGUGGUAGCUCGUCUCAAGAGCACUGCGGCAGUUUGGUGGGAUAAAUUGGCAUUGACGAGAUUGAGGCAAAGGAAAAAACCAGUCAAGAAUUGGCGGAGGAUGAAACAAUUGAUGACAGAACGAUUUUUGCCGGAGGACUAUGAACAGAUUCUUUACAGGAUGUACCUAGAUUGUGUUCAGGGGGCGAAGACUGUAACAGAGUAUACCGCUGAGUUUGUGCGUCUUUCUGAGCGCAAUGACUUAGGCGAAUCUGAAGGGCAGAAGGUUGCUCGGUACAUCAGUAGGUUGAGACCUUCCAUACAAGAGAAGAUUCGCUUGCAAACUAUGUGGUAUGUGACUGAGGCUGCAAGCUUGGCGAUAAAGGCGGAGCUGAUGGAGAAGUCCCCUAGGGUUUCUUUUCAAUUCCCAAGAUUCACUAGUCAGAGGAGUACUGAAGUCAGGAGUUCAAUGGGAGAUCAAGGAAAAACGGUGUCGCAGAAUACAGGUGGAAUGGCCACCAGGGCAUUUGGUGCUGUUGGCAGUACUAGCAGAGCGACUCGGGCAGCACCUGUGCAGCGACCUUUUAACCCUUAUGCAAGGCCUUUUCCAGGAACUUGUUAUAAGUGUUUACAGCCUGGUCAUAGAUCCAACGAGUGUACUGCACCUCCGAAGGUGGUUAACGCAGUUCAGGCUUUGGUCGAGGCUUGUGAGGAAGACGAGACGGAGGAAGGAGGCGAUGACUAUGAAGGGGCUGAAUUUGCAGUGGAAGAUUCUCCAGAAAAGGUGAACAUUGUAUUGCAGAGAAUUUUGUUGUCUCCCAAGGAGGAGGACGGUCAACGUAGGAACAUUUUCAGAUCGUAUUGCUCUGUCAACAACAAGGUGUGUAAUAUGAUUGUGGAUAAUGGGAGUUGCGAAAAUUUUGUUGCUGAAAAGUUGGUAGAGUAUUUGAAGUGACCAACAGAGGCCCAUGUGAUGCCCUAUUCUCUGGGUUGGGUAAAGAAAGGUCCUCAAGUGCGUGUAACCAGAACUUGUAAAGUGCCUGUUUCGAUUGGUAAGCAUUAUAUGGAUGAAGUAGUUUGUGAUGUUCUGGACAUGGAUGCUUGUCAUAUUCUGUUUGGGCGUCCUUGGCAGUAUGAUGUUGAUGUUACUUACAGGGGUCGGGAUAAUGUGAUGUUGUUUAUGUGGGGUGAGUUCAAGAUUGCUAAGGCUCCUGUGGUGAACUUUGUCAAACCUGUAGAAAAGAAGAGGGAGAGCUUUCUGAUCUUGUCCAGGAAUGAGCGGGAGAUAGAGGAAGACUUUAAGGAGUCAGAGUUGUGUUGUCUUGUGGUGAUUAAGGGGUUGUUUAGUGCAGAGAAAGAACCUGUGGAGAUCCCUGAAGAGGUACAACAGUUGCUUAAGGGAUUUGAGGAAUUGAUUUCCGAUGAGCUACCAAAUGAGUUACCACCCAUGCGAGACAUCCAACACCAGAUUGAUUUUAUUUCAGGUGCCAGCUUACCAAAUCUUCCCCCUUACCGUAUGAGUCCUAAAGAGAAUGAGAUCUUGAGGGAGCAGAUUGAGGACUUGCUGAAGAAGGGGUUUAUUCGUGAGAGCAUGAGCCCUUGUGCAAUUCCAGUCCUUCUGGUUCCUAAGAAUGGCAACCAAUGGCGGAUGUGUGAGUCAGUUAGAGCUAAAUUGGAGGCCACUAAUGCAAAGAAUAAGGCUGCCGCUGAUAAGCAUCGCCGGAUUAAGUUGUUCAAGGAAGGUGAUGACGUAAUGGUGUUUUUAAGGAAGGAAAGGUUUCCUGUUGGUACCUACAAUAAGCUGCAACCCAAGAAGUAUGGUCCUUUCAAGGUACUACGGAAGAUCAAUGACAACGCUUAUGUUGUUGCACUUCCCGCUUUUAUAUCAAUUUCAAAUACCUUUAAUGUGGCUGAUAUUUAUGAGUACCAUGCGGAUGAGGCUCUUUAUUCUAUUGAGAACUCGGGGUCGAGUUCUUCGGAGGUGGAGGAGACUGAUGUAGGACGGAUGGCAGAAGCAAUCGAGGAAUAGAUCGAUCGUUGCAGGUCCAAACUCGGUUUGCUGCAGAUUUGGCGUUCGGUGUCCUAAUGACUAUUAUUAUACCUUUCUGGAAGGGGAACGGCCCAACGAACAAGACUCGUGGCUUUGCCACGAUGUAUGGGCUUUUUCGGCCAUCCGAGUUUGUUUUGGACCUCAAAUCAGCGUUUUAUUAGUUUUUGAGAUUUUAUGUUUCCUAGUUAUUUUCGGAUUCUGUUUUAAUUCAAUCCUUGGCUUUUAGGUUUGGUUGUUAGUCGCCCUAGGGUUUUGUUUCCCAUAUAUAAGCACCAUUUUGGGUAGCUGACAUUCAGUUUAUCAAUUAUAAUUCAGAUCUUAAGAGUUUACUUUUAGUUUCCUAGCGCGCUCCAGGUUUUGGUCCUAUAGAGUUUUUCGCUGGAAGACUCUCCACUUAUUGGGGUUUAACGCUGGUUAGCCCUCCAUACUCCUGCUGCAUCAUUGGGGAACCCUCAACAGUGAAGCGUACACAUGACCUAACACCAUCAAUGACAACGCCGAUCUCAACAGCGGCGGCGGUGGCUACGACAUCAAUCCCGGCGACGUCAACCCCAUUAGCGUCGAUCUCAGCAGCGAGCCGCACAUCGACAACUAUCACGGCAGCAACAGAGGAUGUUACUGCCAUCGUCAAUUUGGUUGCUCCUUGCGAACCAUUUGAGAGACCCUUGGGACUGGAUUUUAUUGAGGGUGGAGGAUCUUUGUCUCUGCCAAAGACCCAAUCUCGAACACAGACCUUUGCUUCCAUUGUUGGAGGUUCAAUUGAUACAAUUGACCCUACCAUCAUUUGCCAACUACCAAACCCAGAGGUACACGGUGACAUGAUCUAUGUCAAGAUUAGUGACGAUUUAUAUUAUGAACAAUUGCAGAAAUUUCGCACUAAUCUCAUUGGUAGACUUCUACUUCGUAAAGGAUCGGUUCCUAUGAGAACUGAUUCUCUGAAAGCUUCCAUUGCGGCUCAGUGGAACACUACGAACCCAUGGCAGUUGGUUCCAUUGGGUAAGGGUUUCUUUGACAUUCAUUUCAAUAGUGAAGAUGACAUGAGAAGAAUUUGGAGAAGUGGUACAUGUUCUCUCGCUAAUGGAAUUUUUCGGUUAUUCGAAUGGAAGCCAGACUUCAUACCCGGUGCUAAUCUGCCUCAAACACACACCCAAGUGUGGAUACGAAUUUCUGGAUUAAGCCAAGACUAUUGGCAUCCUCGCCAUCUCAUGGAGAUUGCCCAUGGGGUAGGGACACCAUUGCAGAUAGACAAAGCGACGAGGGAGCGUCAAUUUGGUUAUCGGGCCUAUUGAUUCAACAAUGGCGGUGUUGGUUUGUCCAAGUGAACCACAAUUAGAGAGCAUUGUUACAACAAGAUCUGCAGGUAAUAUUGUUAAUGUUACUGUUAGUAACAACUUUGAAUGCCGAUAAUAGGAGUAGGACUGCCGCCAAUGUUAGCUUGUUUGUGGAAUUUGUAACUGAUCGAGAGGAUUUUUGGUAUAUACCAAAUGGUUGUUUUGUUGAAUGUUGAUGAUAAGUGAAGCAGUAUAUUCCGGAUUCGGCCUUUUGUAGUCGUAGGCGGGGGGAAGUUUCCGGACAACUUCACUCUCUGCUCGAGCUAGCUUUCUAUUCCAGACUGGGUCGUCGUCAUUUGCUGGAUUUUAAUAAAACACAAAGGACCAUGGAAAGACUCAUGAGUCUUCUGUUCUCGGGUUGACGUUUGGUCAAUUGCAGUAUAUGAAGAAUUGAAGAUGAACUGGUCCCGCCUUUUAAUCAUCUCCAGCUACCACGCAAAAACAAAAAAAGCAGAAAAAAAAGUCUUGCAUCUUUGGACGCAUCCGCGCGACUUGGACUUUAGUAGUCGACAUUGAAGUGAUCCACUCGUCCUUAUAACUCGGGGUUAAUUUGCUCGAUCAAGAUUCUCCUCCAUUUUAUAAAAAUGGUUUUUUCCCUUCUUUUUAUAAAAUGGAGGAGAAUCUUGAUCGAGUAAAUUAACCCCGAGUUAGGGAAAAAGCCCUAAUGCACAAAAUAGAAAAAGUCAAACCCCAUUUCAAUGAUAAUCUUUUUUAUUAGCCCAUUUGAAUACAAGGUACUUAUUUUAAGCCCAAAUACACAAAUCUUUAUUAAAAUAUAAUAAAAUGAUAUUUUAAAAGACUUUUUUACCCUUAACCUUUAUUUAAAGAGAAAAAAUGAAAAAGAAGAAGGGAAGACUUUCCCGGAAGCACACCGGACACCGGCGCCGGUCACCGGAUUCCGGUCGCCGGAAAAUUGAUGGUGAUCGGAAAAUCGCCGGAGAUGCCGGAGUCUCACUGGAUUUUUUUGAAAAAAAUGUCACCGGAACCCACCGGAUCUUGCCGGAAGCAUACCGGCAAAAAAAUGAAGAUUACUACCCCUAGUAAACUUUUACUGGGGGUAGUAAACUUGCAAAACAGUAGCUCCAAUGCCAUAAUUCACAUUGAAAAAGANNNNNNNNNNNNNNNNNNNNNNNNNNNNNNNNNNNNNNNNNNNNNNNNNNNNNNNNNNNNNNNNNNNNNNNNNNNNNNNNNNNNNNNNNNNNNNNNNNNNNNNNNNNNNNNNNNNNNNNNNNNNNNNNNNNUGCAAUACAAUAUUUUCCUAGUCAGUAUAUACAUUAAAACACAAAAGAAAAUCAACUUAGAUACGGACAAAUAAAGUUUACUACCCUUAGUAAACUUCUACUGGGGGUAGUAAACCGGCCAAGAUAGGACGACCACCUCUGAUCGGAGACGAAGGAGGUUAGAUGAAUCAUAAACAUCUACAGGUUAUGCACAAUGCUUUUAUACACGUGCUCUAGCAAACUAAAAGCUCAACCCACUGCAAUGAAUCAAAGCUCAUGCAAUUGCAGCCCAAGUCUCCCCAAAUUUAAAACACAAAGGAGUCCAUGAUCAAAAGUAAUCACAUACAGAAGGAUCAGUAAAAGAAAAUUAGUACUCAAAUUUAUGAUUCAAAGCUAAUGCUUGUCGUGAGUGAAAGUAAAUUGGAUUCCCAUGAGCAAAAGUAAACUUGAACAUAUACUAGAACAAUAUAUGACUUCUGUGAAAUUGAUUUAUGUAUCUUCUGAGAAAGGAAACAUUUUUCUACCAAUUUCACUUCUAACAGUAAAACUCUCACUCUAACAGUAAGAACUCCAUGUAAAUUCCAAUUAAACAUAAGCGCAAUUUGAUUAAAAUUACCACUAAAGCACCGACUGGCUUGGCGGUUCCAGAUCUGGCCGCGUUCCUAGUCCGAGCGGCGGCGUUGGUAGCUGCGGUGACCGGAGGAAGCUUCACGUAGCCGUUGGACCUUACCGAUAUGCUCCUCGGGAGCGCAAUCCUCUCCACAUUAACAUUCUUGGUGUUUUCCUUGUCCAUGACGUCACUCGUCUGACUGUGAUCGGUCAAUUCCUUUUCCUCCUUGCCGUCAAUUGACAGGCCACGAAUCCCGUUGACGAUCCCAAACGGCGACCUUGGCUGGCUCGCCACAGAGCUUGAGGAAGCUUCGAUCUCUUUCUGUAAAUUCCAAUCUCUUUCGGUGCCGGAUCUGUGAGUGAGAGUUAGAGAGAGAGAGAGAGGUUUGCAGAUCCUUCGUUAGAGAGUCAUCGUCGUAGAGGCAUUGGUCGGCGUCAGUGACGCUUUGAUCGGCGUUGGCUUGCUUCGGCCAGGCAUGGCUGGCUUCAGAUCUCGUGGAGGAUGAGAGAGAGAGAGAGAGAGAGAGAGUUAAUGAUCGGGAAAAAAGAGGAGAAAAAGAGUUAAAUUAGGAUGAGGGUAUUGACGUCUUUUUAUUAGAAUUCAUUGGAAUGGGGUUGGUAAAGAGAUUUUCAUUGGAAUAGGCAAUAAACCUUUAAAAUUAGUACUAAAGUGUCAUUUACUCUAAAAAGAAAACCUUGAUCUAAUUAGAAUCGGAAAAUCAAUAUCUCACAACUCAUGCAUUUGGUAAUUGUUUGACUAGUUUGCACUAGAUGAUGCCCGCGCGUUGCCACGGUUUGCAAUGACAGACAUUAACAUAUCGUAAAUGCUUAUGUAUGGAUUAUUCUGCUGUUAUUUUAUGUGUUGAUGGUUGCAGCAACAUAAGAGGGACAUUAUAUAGACAUUAUAGACAGUACAUUACAUGCAGAUGACGCAGAAAAUGGAAUAUUAGAUUUACAAAAAUCCAUGAAUUUAGCGUCCGAUGCCAUACAAAUGUACAAAAUUUGGUCACCCUAUUGGAUUUGAUAUUUCUUGACAGCAUCAGCGCUUCACCUGUUAACAAAGAGUGAACAACUUGUCAGGAUACUUUUAUGUUACCAAUCCACUUAGGCCGUUUCUUUUUUUUUUUUUUUUUUUUUUUUUUUAAUUUUUUACAAAUGACUGCGAAUUUUUUUUAAAUCUCAUUGGUGCAAGAAAACAGAGUUAAUCUGCAAUUAAAGUAGCUCUCUGUAAUGCAGCAAAGUAUGUCGCGACUCAGUUGCAUAAAGAACAGAGGCAAAAUUGAAUUCUAGGCAUUUCAAUACAUUGUAUAAAUUUAAUUGCCACAUUAGGAUGAUGCCUGCACAUUGCCACGGUAUGCAAUGACGGAUAGUAACUUAUUGUAACUGCUUUUGUAUUACUUAAGAGUGAAAAAGUUCUUACAUCAAUCACAACUCUGGCCUAUUGCAAGACCUCCUCCUGUGUAGUGCUCCACUAUAUUUAGUGUAGGCUCCAAGCUCAUCAGCGGAGCCAAUAUCUCUAGCCUGAUCAAGGAAUAAACUUUUGAGUGCCAAGGAAAACCAAAGCUUCAUAUGUAGAACGGCUCAAAUCAAGUCAAAUUUCUGAAUUUUAAUUGAACACACCGCGUAUAUAACUCUUGCACCUCCUCCGGCAACCAUAGUCCAAAUUCUUCCCUUAGCGUUCAGUCAAUUUCAAAGAUGCACAUGUCUGCAAGCAAUUGACAAAUGAACCUGAUUAAAGCAUGAUACUAAAUGGAAUUAUCUAAUUGGUGAAUAUAUUUCCUUAUGAACAUGGGGUGUUUCUGUAUGAAUAUUGAAAGCAAUUAAAAUUGAAUACAACCCAAAUCCUGCAUGAAAACUAUCAUUGGCUUUUAAAAAAAUGUCAUUGAUGAGGUAAGGCAUCUGUUCGUACCUUUUCAUCUAGCCAAUGAAUAAACAUUAAUGUAGGACUCAUAACUCUUCCAAACAACAUUGGAAUUCAAUAUUGCCCCACCUGAAACAAUAAUAUCAUGUAAGGUGGUGUUGAAAAUGGUACGCUAAAAUAGAAGAAACAUUAGAUAGUAUCAAAUGGCUUUUGUCAACUGAGGGUAAUAACAACAGAAAGUGAAUGCAGUUAUUGAAGUUCUUGAAAGCACCAGUGUCAUCCAGCUCACCUCUCAUAUCCAAAGGAUAUGGCUUUCCAUCAACCAAUGCAAAAGGAUUCAUCUCCAGAACAGCGAAGUCGAGAUCUGAAACAUAUGAAUUGUUAAUAAGGUUGUUCUUGAAAAUGUACCAUCAAAUGGAACCGUUAAAGACUUCCAACACCCUUAAAAUAGAACCAAAAAAAAAAAAAAAAAAAAAAAACAAACUUAGACAAACUCCUCAUUUUCACUUUUAAUCAGGAUCCCAAAAUAUAAUCUGUUAAUGAAAUUUGAGCAAAAAAUGAACAUGAACUCAAGCAUCAAGAAUCAGACAUAAUAAAAUAACUUGAUUGUUCACGGAUACAACAACGCAAUACCUUUCUUUGUGAGGAAUAUGGAUCGCAAUCCAGGCAAAAUAAACUAUGGCCAAGAAACAAAACCUCUAUCAGAUCAACAACACACAACAAAUACUUCAAUUAGAUCAUGUUAGGAGCUAAAAAGAACACACCCACAACAGAUGCUACCGAUGAAACCUUCAACAUGAAAACCAACACCAAACCAAUCCGACGAACACAUAACUUUUGAUAAUAGAAUGAAUCCACAGAGAGCCCGGCAGACCACUGCCGAUGAAUAGCCCAAACUACUAUUUAAGAAUUGAUGAAAGCGUUGGUAUCAAAACAAAGGUAUAAAGACGAUUAGGGAAAAUGAUUACCAGAAAGGUAAGGAACUGAAUCAAAGUCUCCUAAACCCACUAAAUAAAAAUUGUAGUGUUAGACUAAGCAUAUCCAACCUUAAUCAUUCAGAUGCAGCACAACUACACCAAAUCAUGAUUUACUGAAGUUCAAUGAAAUUGGCUAACCCCCUUGCGCUGUGAAUGCAAGUGGAAGGCAACCACACUCGGCUACUUGCAUUCCGAACUGUUCUCAGCUUCAUUUUCUUUGUGCAUUCAUAAUCUGCAAAAAAAUAACAGUCAUUCAAUAAUUCUGGAUUCUUUGGGAACUGCUUAAAGCAAAGCCUUAAGUUAAGUCUUUACUCUUAAAGCAAACCUCAGUGAAUUAUAUUAAAUACCAUCAAUACGUAAUUUUUAUCGAAUGUUGUGUGACAUGAUUUUGUGGAGCUCAUCAUAGGGAGAGUAUUUUUUUGACAAACACCAUAGGGAAGUGAAAAGAACCAAGGAAAGUUCCCAUCUAAUUUCAUAAGCACCUGCUAGUAAAUAAGGCUUGACCUGCACAUGUAAAUGGAGAAAGGCACAAUGAAUAAGGCUAACAAUGCAAUGCAAUGCAAAUAUAUUUUCAAAACAAUUCACUUUCAGGCACAUUAAUAUCACCUACAGGUAAAUAAAUAUGAGUUGAAAAAAUGAAAAGUGGGAAGACAAACUAUAAAAGGAAUUUCACAUGUAGUUAAAUAGUACUACAUUAAAAACUCUCAUACAAUAUACAUCAGAGGCACAGAAAGGUAGUAAAAAAUUAAAAUAUAAACAGAAGUAUCAUUCUCCUCCUUCAUAAUAGUAAUAAUUCAUAUAAAAUCCUAAACUCUAAAAGAUUAUGAAAUUCUCCCUUUCAAGUGUAAAAGAAGGUUCACCACUUAUGCAACAUAGAAAAGAAAGCUGGAACAAAACAUCAAUGAAAGCUUAAAAGCAGUAGAUAAUGGCAAAAAGCAUUUUUCUUUGUUUCCAUGCGCAGGUCAGAAAUUUAGAAAUUGCAAAGAAUUCACAAUAUUCUUAGCCUAGCCUUACGUGACUUCAUUUAACCAUACUGCUAGUCUUAUGCUCAUCUUUUGAUCUUUUAGUUGGACGAUUUCUAUAUAAACAUAAGUGGUACUUCAACACAAAAUCACAGCUUCAGGUGCCACUGAUUUCCAACCACCAUCAAAAGGACAAUUGUGUAAUACUUUCCCAGUUCUCUUUAACUGUCAUUUCUCCCAUGUGAAGAUCAUUUUGACUUAUAUAAGCUGAUGUUCUAAGAAACAAAUUCUGCCAUAUUGUGCCCAUUAUAUGUAACUUACCCCGAAGACUCAAGAUACAUCAAUUACCCUAUUAGACCAGAUUUUUACUGAAGAAAAUUAAUGAACAAAAAGGGCCAAAGUUAACUGUUCUUACUUUCAUAUUUUUACCAACUCUUCCUGCAAGAGCCAAUAGUAAUGUGGUUUUCCUGGAACUUGGGAGAUCUAAAAGAAAAGUCAUUCUGCAAGAAUCAAUUGAAAUAAGAACUGUUUGAUAAGAGCUAGAAUCCAAAUGCGAGAAUCAAUAAAUAAUGAAAAUGUUACUACACAUAUACCAUCAUCACAGGUUUUGUCGUAAGAUCUAUCACUGCAAGAACAUAUAACUUCAUUGUUAUCGAAUCCACAAAACCCACCACUCCUCACGCAAACCAUCAGUGUGAGGUACAUGGUUUUGAUCUGGUUCUAAAUGUUCCCUGGGCAAUGUUAAUGCAAUGUCUGUUCCUACACCAGCAUACCAACUCAGAAGUGAUUCAUUUUGCAUAUUAAAUCGUAACAGUUCUAUUAUAUUGCCACAAUCAAUCAAUCACAGUCAACUUAGUGGACAACAAAGAUUCAUGCAAACCUCUUUGUUUUUAUAUACAAACCCGCUGUAUUUAUAUACAACCUAGAAGCAUCUUCAUCUAUAUGUUUGUACAUGUCCAAACCCUUUCUUUUUCUCUUUUUUGAUCCAAUCUUGAUAAUUGGGCAGUAGGUAGUUUCUUACUAACUCUGUGUACCAAACCAUGUAUGGCUCCAAAGAUAAUAUAUAAAAGAAAUGUAAUCAAUAUGUAUGUUCAAAGGUUACUGAAUGUCUGUAUCUGAUAUAUAAUGAUCAUAUACAUGUCACAGAUGAGAAGAGGAGCUGUCUGUUGAUGAUGAUUGAUCACUAAUUGCCAAAUUGUAACAAUUUUCUUUAUCUUUGUUUUGCACUUUUUUUCCCUUGAUUUUCUAAAAAGGGUUUGACCUUAACACUUCAUCUAUGGAUUGAACUGAACAGAAAACUGAUGUUAAAAGACAUUGAUUUACUUUCCACCAGUAGAAAAUGAUUGGACAUCUUCAGCUAUAAUGGUGAUGCAACACACUGCUUCUGGUCUGAAAUACCCGUUUCCUACAACUAAUUUCAUGAGAAAAAUUCAGAACCCAAUUACAAAACACCACCCAUACUACAUAUGCAACUAACCAUACAACUAAAUACCUUAUUUUGUGAGGAAAACCGAUAGCUAUCCAGGCAAAAUAAAAAAUUAGGCCAAAAACAAACCCCAAUCAGAUCAAUAACACACAACAAAUACUUCAAUUAGAUCAUGUUAGGAGUUAAAAAGAACAUACCCACAACAUAUGCUACCAACGAAACCGUCAACAUGCAAACUAACACCGAACCAAUCCGACGAACACAAAACUUCUGAUAAUAGAAUGAACCCACAGAGUCUGCCGGACCACCGCCGAUUAAAAACCUAGACUCUUGUUUACGAAUUGGUGAAAGUAUUGGCAAUUUGGCAUUAAAACAAAGAUAAAAGACGAUCAGGACAAUUGAAAUAGAAACUCAAAAUGGAUCAUAUACAGAACAAUGUCCUCACCUUGACGAUUUGAUCAUAUACAAAACAAAGUCCAUACCUCGACGAUUACAUUGAGAAGAGCAACACAUAUUUUCAUUCCACGAAACCCAUCUCUCUCUGACUACAAAGAGCGACAGAGAAGAUGGUCAAUACUCAAUACACUCAAAUCCAUCAUGCAGAAGAAGCCAUCAACGCCAGACGUCGACGAAAAACACAAAUGGCAACAACCCAGACUCACAAAUGUCAAACGCAGUUAUAUAAAGAACAAACAGGUGUCAAGACAGAGCAGAUAAUGGUAAUUUUGUGAUUAGUUGCGAGCUGAGGGCAGAACCGUUUUUUUGCAGGCUGAAUGAACAGUUGUAAUGUCUUUCUGUUUUAGUAGGGGUUUUUUACACCAACAGUGUCUGAACACUUGGGUGACUGACAAUAUGGUACCCGAACUUACAAAGUUAUCAAAAUGGUACCUAAACUCGAUUUUUAGUAUCUGCGUAAUACCUGUGGUUAAUCUCCGUCAACGGACUUGUUAAAUGAGGCAAAAAGACUUAUUUGUCCUCCAUUCUCUCUGUCGUCGAUCUACCUUAUAGAGUUCUAGGUGCUGGACUCUCAGUGCCGGUAUGAUUUGAGAUGGGGGAAANAUAAUAUUUCAGAUGGAGAAAGAGACGCUANNNNNNNNNNNNNNNNNNNNCAAAAGUAGCAAUCCCAGAUGAUAUGUUUAUUGAGAACUAGGAUUCCAAAUGUAGAAUUAGUUGGGUAUAUAUGCAAUCUAAGAUGCAAAAUGAUAAACAAAACAAAGAAAAGCAAGGUUCGCAAUACCAAUUCGAACAUAUACGCACGCAGCAGUUUAGUAUUCCACAGGUAAACCAUAAAACAAUAAAAUUUUGCAAGCAGCAAAGUAAAACCUCAACAUACAAAACUUCCCACGAGUCCCAAUUCCAAGCAAAACCCAAUACUCAAAACUGACAAACCAAGCUAAUAAACAUAUAAAGAUAGAAUCUUGACUGUAAAAACCAGAACCGAACAAAGCAAAACAAAGAUGGGAGCUUUGAUAAGUACCAGAUGGAAAGGAAGUGACUAGAGAAUAGAGGAAGUCGAAGACGAAGUUGAGGGCUGCUGUUAGAAAUAGUCGCAGCCUCCUUCAUGGAUAACGCUACACAACAACAACUGGAUGCCCAGAAUAGUUUUUUCGAUGUCGGAUCUCUCAGAGACGGCUGCUCUACGCUCGUCGCGUCGCGUCGCUAUGUCUGAGAGAUCGACGUGGAUGCCGUCGAAGAUGAAGGAGGGGCGGAACGUUUGGAUGGGUGGAGUUGAGUACGGUCGAUGAAGUCGGCGAAGAAUUGGGCCUGGGUCGUGUUGGCCAUUUGCAGAGAACGGCAGUACAGCAGCCAUUAGAGGGGGAUGAGAAAAGAUAAAGGAAGAGAAAGGAAGAGCAACGAAAAAUUAUAAUCCCAAGCACGAGACGCGCCUAGCUUCGGCGUGUUUGCAAGCAAGUGGUAAAAUUUUGUUUUUACCAAUUUACUUCCGUCAGUAGACAAAUGCGGAGCACAGACGCUCCGGAGCAUUCCAGACGUCUCCCACGCACGCUGGCUUAUACUGUUUGAGAUUUCCCCAUGCAAGCUUCUAGAUGAAGGGAGCGGUCCAACUUGUCUGUUUGGUUCCAGUAUGUGUUCCCAAUUCAACUGGCUAUUACUUGAUAUCUGUAAGUCCUCACUAUUGCUAUAAUGAUAAAUGUUGAGCCAAUUAAUCCAAAGGAAUAUGCCUGUUCAUGAUGAUAGUCUACAGCCUUGAAUUUCGAUGUAUGUUUCGAAACUGAGAGCCUAUUCGGCGCACCCGGGUGCGCGACGCACCCGUCAUCUCCACCGUUAAAAUUUUUUUUUUCGGGUCAAAAUCGACGGUGGAUACACCUGGUGCGCCGCGCACCCGGGUGCGCUGUAUAAUUUCCAUUCGAAACUAAGCAUACUAUAGAAUCGAUGAAUAUAAUACUGUUAUAUGACUGGUUGCUUAAUAAAUUGCAGAGUAAAAAAUGCAGGGAAAAAAUUGAAAACAACCACAUUAAUUUGCACGUAUCAAAUUAAUAGUAUGCUUACAUACACUUAUUUUAUGAGGCACUACUAAAAAUGAAACAAGGAUUACAACAACGCAUGGUAUAUAAAUCAAAAGGAAUACACCAACUAAUAUCUAUCUUCCACCACCAUUUCCAUUUGGCAUCAACAUCUGAAUUUGCAUGCUGUCAUACCCAGAAGUCGUACCACUAGAAUUUUGAUCACCUCCUCUAGCAUCCAUAACAUAACUGUCUGAAUUAGGUGACCCAAGCAAGUACUCAUUCUCUUCUGGACAGAAUGUAGCAUUCUUUCCCCACGGAUGCUUUGCCAUAAUUGCCAUUCCCUCUAGCUCCAUGGCGACUUCUUUCAUGCUAGGCCUUUCCUCCCCUUUUAACCUCUAAACACCUUUUUGCCGAGAUUGGCCACGUUUACUGCUGUCUCAAUGUUUCCCUCAUUCACUAUGCAUCAUCAAGAAUUUCUCUUAAACAGUCUUCAUCCAUGGAAGAAACAAGAUGCUUGNNNNNNNNNNNNNNNNNNNNAGAUGGAGAAAGAGAGCUAGAACUAGAGAGUUUUUUGGUGUAAUAUUAUUUUAAUUUUCAAUAUAUUCAUUUUAGGGUUUGUCAGAGUCAAAAGUCUUUUUUACCCUCAUUAUUUUAACACACAUAUGUCACCUAUGGUCAAUGUUAACGUUGACGUGACGAAAAAUCGGCCGUGGGUACUAUGUAGAUACUAAAAAUUGAGUUUGGGUACCAUUUUGAUAACUUUGUAAGUUCGGGUACCAUAUUGUCAGUCACCCAAGUGUUCAGACAUUAUUGGUGCCGAAAAUCCGUUUUAGUAUAUCUAAUGUCUAGACUAAUAGACACAUCUCAGUCAGCAUCAACACUAAUAUGAUACGAGUCCUAAGCUUUGAGAGUGCUAAUCUCAUAAUCACUUGAGUUUGUAUAAGUUACACUCAUUGUGUUGUUCUCAUUGUUUUUUAAUACUAAGUUGAACAAUAACAACGCUCAUCCCCUGCAUAAUCUAAUUGAGUUAGGUGGCUAUAGCUUUAUAUAUAUUGGUGGACAAGAUACACCGUUGCAUCUCAAUUUAGGUAGUUGUAAAUUGUAACUUGUUUGGUUUAUUAGUAUAUGUCAGUUUCUAGACGGUAAGAUCAUGUCAUCAAGGUGCCAAGUAGGUGUAAAUGGUAUUAAACAAUUUCCUUUUGCAAUACGAAGAUGACUGGUGGAAAAUUUCUAAUUUGAAUUAUGAAUAUGACAUGACUUGUGGAAAUUUUCCAAGCGAAAACUAGUGACAGCAUGCAGAUUCAACUAGUGUAAUACCUAUCUACCUACUUUGCAUAUUAUGUACAAUACAUAUCUCCUUAACUAGUUCCCUAGUUGACUUGGUACUUCAAGCAAGGUAGGUUCGAGAUUUGUGAUGUUCACUUGAAUGAAUGAGCAAGUAAUUCUUUACAAGCUAAGUUUUAUUUUCCCGGUUAGGCUAAAAAUAGUGUAACUCUACUGUUGCUUUGGGGCUUAAGCUCUGGUGGUUGUAGUUUUCCUUCACAGUUACUCAGUGAAGUCAUGAGCAUAUAUUGCCUUAAAAUACCAUUAGCACUCGUGUACUGUAACACUGUUGGGCUCUAUUGGUCCAUGAUUCUUCAUUAGAUUGAAUGGGGAAGCUUUAUAAUCUGUAAAUUGCAUGGCUUCUGUUGUCAUAUCAUCAUCUUCUUGUUGAAAAGAUGUCUUCUUGACAAGGAUUACCUGUUCAGUUUGCAGGCACGCUGGCUUAUACUGUUUGAGAUUUCCCCAGGCAAGCUUCUAGAUGAAGGGAGCGGUCCAACUUGUCUGUUUGGUUCCAGUAUGUGUUCCCAGUUCAACUGGCUAUUACUUGAUAUCUGUAAGUCCUCACUAUUGCUAUAAUGAUAAAUGUUGAGCCAAUUAAUCCAGAGGAAUAUGCCUGUUCAUGAUGAUAGUCUAAAGCCUUGAUUUCGAUGUAUGCUUCGAAAUUAAGCAUACUACAGAAUCAAUGAAUAUUGUUAUAUGCCUGGUUGCUUAAUGAAUUGCAUAGAGUAAGAAAUGCAGGGAAAGAACUGAAAACAACACAUUAAUUUGCAUGUAUCAAAUUAAUAGUAUGCGCUUGCAUACACUUAUUUUACGAGGUACUAAAAAUGAAACAAGGAUUACAACAAAUCAAAAGGAAUACACCAACUAAUAUCUAUCUUCCACCACCAUUUCCAUUUGGCAUCAACAUCUGAAUUUGCAUGCUGUCAUACCCAGAAGUCGUACCACUAGAAUUUUGAUCACCUCCUCUAGCAUCCAUAACAUAACUGUCUGAAUUAGGUGACCCAAGCAAGUACUCAUUCUCUUCUGGACAGAAUGUAGCAUUNNNNNNNNNNNNNNNNNNNNAGGAGUGUAAGUGUGCUAGUGCUCCUGCUGUUUCAACAGCUAUCUUCAUUCGUAGUUCCAAUGACAGUGGUGACCUCUUUUUAUGAAUGUGGUCAUGUAGAGUGCCAUGGGCGACAAACUCGUAUACUAGUAAUGGCACUGCUGUCUCUAAACAACCUAGUAGCUUCACCACAUUUCUGUGGUUGAUUUGGGAAAGAACAAUCACCUCAUUAACGAACUGUUCGAUCUGUGUCGAGGUACCUCCUUUUGACUUCUUUAUGGCAACCUCUUUGUUAUCGGGUAGCACCCCUUUAUAGACCGUUCCGAAGCCUCCUUCUCCGAGGACUUGGCUCUCAUGGUAAUUGUUUGUUGCCUUCUCUAGUUCUUCUGUGGUGAAUACUUUUGUUGUCUGCACUCCAUGGUUCUUAAGUUUCUGUUGUAGCAAUAAGCCACCAUUCUCUUUAAAGUUUCUUUCUUUGAGUUUCUUGAGCUUUUUGUUCUUCAUUGUAAAACAAAUCCAUGAAAUUCCAACGAACAGAACCAAGAAGCCCCCAGUUACACCUGCAGAUAUAUGUCAACAAUCAAUAAUGGUGGUUAUCGAGGCAAACUCGCAAUGAGAUUAGAAAUAGUACAUACUCAAUGAUACAAUAAGCAGGAGCGUCGUCUUUGUUUGUUUUUUGCGAAUCUCCUGAAUACAACUUUGAUGAUUCGUUCCAUUGCUUAUGUACCCUCUGUCACACAAACACUUCCAGGUGAAUUUUGACACGUUCCAUUGGUGCGGGUGUUUGAAACCUUGCACUCAUCGAUAUCUGAAAGAAAAUCAGGAAACGCAUUUUAUAAAUCAACCCAAAAUCAGAUAGACUUUUAAUUUCUGGCUGCAGCACUGACUCACACACACACAAACACACACCCUCAAACAAAUUAGAUAUCAAGUGCAUAUUUCACCUUGGCAUCCAUCAGGGAGGUAGGGAUUUCCUUGAUAACCCUCUAGGCAUUGGCAGAUAUGACCAGAUCGGUCAUUGCUGAUGGUCCGAUCGACACACUUACUAUUUGCCUUGCAUGCGUAAUCAGUCUUUCUUUUGAGCUUCAUCACAUGAAACUUCUCCAAUUUCCAAUUCAGAAUCAUGGGAAGCUUUUCAAUGUUGGACAGAUAUUGGAAACUUGUAUUCGGGGAAAAGGUAAACUUGCCUUCUUCCACAAUGAAGGCAUAGCUGCAUUAUUGAAGUCCAGUACGUAUGUAUGAUUAUAAUAACUGUCCAGUGUGACAGUGUAGUUGAAAAGUCCGAUAGGGAUGUCAGUUUUGCAACAGCCAGCACCGGAGCAAGACUGUUCGACGCUGUCACUGUUAGCACAUAUGGACGUACAUCCGGUCAUUAACCACUCUUCGUCUGCACGGUAGCCUCUGAAAAUUGCGUAAGUGUCGCAACCAACGGCAAUGAACUUGUUUCUAGUAUGAGAAACGGUGAAAGGAUGCACCCAGAGAUCUGUUCGAACGUAAUAAUUCUCGCCCUGGCUGUUAUAGCAAUCGCUGGCUACAAACUGCUGUAUCUGCAUCUCACCCUCAGCCAGAGAUAUGUUGGUAAUAACGAUGUUACCAUCUCCCAACGUUGCUAUUGGAGGUUCAGCGGAUGUGUUACAACGGACAGGAAAGUCUUCUGACAUGUAACAAUCCUUUUCUAUGCCAAACGGAUAUGGAAUGGUGAGAUUGCCGCAGUGGUCAGUGCAGCCAGGCUUGGCUUGAGGCGGGACCGCUUCAGCUGCUACUGCUUCUUCGGCCGCUGCCGCAAAUGCGAAGAGAACCGAUAGCACCACCAGUAUGAAUUGCAUACUUAAGUCAGUAUCCGCUAGCGAAAGUUAUCCUAUAAGUCUAUAACUCCAUAAGGUUUAACCCCCAUGUACGAUGGAAGCUGAAGCCUUAUAUAUGUUAGAGAAAUUUUAAAUACACACCUUUAAUCUCUUAAUAUACACCUCGAUUAUUUUAUAUUUCACAUUAGAUUUUAUAGGUAUGUAUAAUUACAAAAACAUUCAUCAAUUAUUAAGGGAAAAAAACACCAUCUUAUCAAAAACCUAACUCUUCUCCACUAUUACUACGCAUCAAAAGAAAAUAAAUAAAAACCUCUUCUCCAAAAUUCAUCACCUGAAUUUCGACUAAUGUCGUAAUCACAUAUACUAUUUACCGAUUCAUUUGGGUUUUUUUUUAACCAACUUUAGUUUUAUGCUAUUAUACUUCUACAAGUUUCUUAACUUUGAAAAAAUUAUGUAUGUUUAAUAUUUUUUUUUCUUCAAAUUCUAGCCGAUUAAUGUCAUAUUGAAGAUUUGGAGUUUGAAUAUAAUAUUACUCUUUUGAUUGUAAAUUGAAAAAUAUCAAAAAAAAAUUUCUAACCCAAUCAAAAAAAAUACUAAAAGAAAAAAAAACGUAAACAGAGUUGUAAAAUAGUAAAUAUAUAAUAAUUAUAUUAAAUAACAUAUUAUUAUUAGUUUUAGAUUGAAGGUAUUUUAGGCAGUUUGGGAUGUGUAUUUAGUAUAAUAUUGAAAUGAAAAACUAAAUAGGUAGUGUAUUAAGUAAGGGGUGUGUAUUAAAAUAUCAGAGAUGUGUAUUUAAAAUUACUCAUAUAUGUUUAGUCUCGAGUUAUAAAAUAUAUACAAGAAGUGAACUAAUUAAUCGAGCCAAGACUUUAGGUUCAAGUUUUAUAACAUAAAUUACGAGUUCGAUUAAUUAGUCUAGUUAGGUGUAAACGCAACGUACUUCUUUAUUAUUCAAGUCUUAUUUUUUGAGUUAACUGACAUAUAUAAACAAAGAUGCUAUCAACUACAUGUAUAUUCUCUUACCUUGUAAAAUAAGUCUUCCAAAAAAAAACAGUAAAGCUUUCAAGUGAACUUUCAAAAUCGUAGUACAGCGCGGACAUAAUUUCAGGUACUUAUGAACUUGCUAAUGAAAGUUUUAAGAAAUCCAAAAAAUUUAAUAGAGGUUAUGUGUUUCUGCUAAAAAUAAAAAUGCAUUAGUGAGAUUAAGUGCAUGCAGCAGGGUUGGUUAAUAGACUUUAACUUCUUCGUCGCUAGUCAAUUCUAAUUUAUAUACUCAUACAUCAUCACUUGCGUAUAAUUUAAUCUAAUCUAAACACCAUAAGACAUCCUAACCAAAGAAAUAGGUUCAGUCUAAUCUAUACACCGUUAUUCCUUCUUCUUUUAAUUUACAAUUUAUAUAGAAUAUGAAACAAUGUAUAAUGUUUUUCAUUUGGUAUCUCAAUAAUGUGAGAUUGAUUAGGACCAAGAAAGGAAAACAAAAAGAAAGACUACUCCCUUCGCUGGCUAGCUAAUUGACUAUUAAUGCAUGCGGGCUUGAUUGACCAUUAGUUUCAUACUUCCGGUUUGACCAUUAGUUUCGCUGGCUAGCUAAUUGACUAUUAAUACUAUCAUUAUGUCCAGUUAAAUUCUAAAGAAAUACCAUAAUGGGAACAUAUAUGAUAGAUUGAUGGACAGAAGACCCCUAUAAAAGACAUUACAGGACUCACUUUCAGAUCAUAAACAUACACAAAUUAGUACUAGCAUAUAUCGUGAGUUAUUCCUUAUAAUCACUCGCGCAAUACUUGAACGCCAUGGCCUUAAUACAUGGUAGGAUGCAAAUGCUUAUUAUCCAGCUCUCUUUGUUAACGGUGGCAGUAACCCUAGCAUCUUCUCAAGCGCCAAGGCCUGCAACCUGCUCCGACCGCUGCGGUGAUGUCGAAAUCCCAUAUCCAUUCGGCAUAGAGCCUAGCUGUUACAUAGAGGUGCCGGAACAAGAUGAACAGCAAUUCAAGGUCACCUGUGACCACGCCACCACGCCACCGUUACUCAAGUUCUUGAACGGUGAUAUCCUCAACCAAAGCAUUACUAACAUUUCUGUAGGUGAGAGUGAGAUGCAAGUAAUGCUGCCCACAUCCCGGAACUGCUACACCAACGGUUCCUACGACGAUUCUUUGUACAGAAACAGUGAGCUCAUCCUCCCUUCUGGUUACACUAUCUCUGAUAAGAACAAGGUUUAUAUCAUUGGAUGUAACAAAAUAGCACUAUACCAAGGUUUUGUUACCCAAGUCGAGCCAGAGCGAACAGAAAUCGAGAAGCUGGGGACAACCGGGGUGAGCUUGUGCCAAGAUCUACUCGGAGCGUUGUCCAACAAUUGCAGUGGCGUCGGGUGUACCCAAAGGACCAUCAUAAGUGGACUUCACAGUAUUAACUUGGAUGUGUGGACAAUCGGUACUGGCCUUGGAAGCACAUCACAGUGGACACUAGACUACCCGUGCAGCUACGGUUUCAUUGUGGAUGAUCGCAAUUUCACCUUCGCCGGGAAUGCAACUUUUAAAGAGAUGGACAGCAGCACAAACGCGCCGGAGCUUCCGGUGACUGUUAACUGGGAAAUUGGAAAGGACAACUGUGAAGUUGCCCUCAAUAAUCAAACUUCUUAUGCAUGCAAGGCCGCAAAUACUGAAUGUGUCAACGGCACUUCAGGUGGAUAUUUCUGCCGGUGCCAGAAAGGUUACCAAGGGAACCCUUACGUCCUUGAUGGUUGCGAAGGUAAAACUCUUUUACAUUAAGCUCGUAAAUGUUUACCUGAUCCUUUUCUAACUAAUAUAUAUGUUUGGCUUUCGGUUUUGUUUUCAGAUGUUAAUGAGUGUACUAAUUCGACCAUCUGCCAUCCUACUUCAACAUGCGAAAAUUUAGUAGGAAGUUAUACUUGUAAAUGUCCCAAGGGCCAAACAAAUGACGACAAUAACAACAGUCCUUGUGUCAAAAUCAUCGGAAAACCAAAGAAUACUUCCCUCCAAAUUUCACUGGGUAUGGAUUUGCUAUCACUGAGCAUGAUUUACUUCUUAUUAUCGUUUGUACGUCAUAUUGAGUUGUACCAUGAUUAUGUGCAGGUGUCUGUUUGAGCUUUCUAGUCGUAUUGAUUAUAACAUUUUGGAUAUACUGCGGAAUGAAAAGAAGAAAGUUCAAGCAACUCAAAGAGAAGUACUUCAAAGACAAUGGUGGCUUCUUGUUACAACAAAAAUUGGAGAAUUUUGACGGACCUCAAGCAGCCAAAAUCUUUACAAGAGAAGAGCUUAAGAAGGCCACAAACAACUUCGAUGACAGCGGAAAAAUUGGCGAAGGAGGCUACGGAUUUGUUUACAAAGGAACAUUGACGGAUAGAAAGGAGGUUGCCAUAAAGGUGUCGAAGAGUAAUGCCCCAAUGACCCAAAGUAAUCAGUUCAUCAAUGAGGUGAUUGUUCUUUCACAAAUCAACCAUAGAAAUGUGGUGAGGCUCCUAGGUUGUUGCUUAGAGACUCAAACUCCUUUGUUAGUUUACGAGUUUGUUAGCAAUGGCACACUUUAUGUAGCACAUUCAUAAGAAGAAUGGCAAGGGUCCNNNNNNNNNNNNNNNNNNNNNNNNNNNNNNNNNNNNNNNNNNNNNNNNNNNNNNNNNNNNNNNNNNNNNNNNNNNNNNNNNNNNNNNNNNNNNNNNNNNNNNNNNNNNNNNNNNNNNNNNNNNNNNNNNNNNNNNNNNNNNNNNNNNNNNNNNNNNNNNNNNNNNNNNNNNNNNNNNNNNNNNNNNNNNNNNNNNNNNNNNNNNNNNNNNNNNNNNNNNNNNNNNNNNNNNNNNNNNNNNNNNNNNNNNNNNNNNNNNNNNNNNNNNNNNNNNNNNNNNNNNNNNNNNNNNNNNNNNNNNNNNNNNNNNNNNNNNNNNNNNNNNNNNNNNNNNNNNNNNNNNNNNNNNNNNNNNNNNNNNNNNNNNNNNNNNNNNNNNNNNNNNNNNNNNNNNNNNNNNNNNNNNNNNNNNNNNNNNNNNNNNNNNNNNNNNNNNNNNNNNNNNNNNNNNNNNNNNNNNNNNNNNNNNNNNNNNNNNNNNNNNNNNNNNNNNNNNNNNNNNNNNNNNNNNNNNNNNNNNNNNNNNNNNNNNNNNNNNNNNNNNNNNNNNNNNNNNNNNNNNNNNNNNNNNNNNNNNNNNNNNNNNNNNNNNNNNNNNNNNNNNNNNNNNNNNGUGGGAGAUAGUUCAUCAAUUAGCUAGCUUAUCUUCCAUAGCUAGCUAGUUAUAUGUGGAGUUGUUCUUAACUUUUUUUGCUACUUUCGAGUAUGUUGCGUGUUAAAUAAAAGACGUCUGAUCAUACUGCUGCAGUUAGUGCAGUGCUGCAUAUGCAUGUAAUGACGGUAAUAUCGAUCUGUUGUAUAUUUUCCAUUUUGGCCAAAAUGUGAGUGGUAAAAUAUUUGUAGUUCGCUUCAUGAAAAUUGUUCGCCUCUUCUCUCUGAAAAAUUAUAUCACUUAAUCUGUUAUUUAAUUAAAAGAAGAAAAACAUUAGAUAGGACUAAUAUUACAACAAACUAUAUAUCCUCAAACAUAAAAUGAGAUGUAAUACUACCAGGACAAGCACUUUAACCGACGAAAAAAUUUCGUCGGCCUGUUAGCUUAAUUCGUCGGCUAAGAUCUUACCCGACGAUCCUUCGUCGGCUAUAGUUUCGUCGGGAAAAGGUCGUCGACGAUGACUUUAGCCGACGAAAAAAGAAGACGUCGUUGGCUAUAGUCCCACAGUUUAGCCGACGAAAAACAUGUCGUCGGUUUUUUUCCCAGACUUUAGCCGACGAAACAAUUAAGAUAUUAGUCGGCUAAAGUGUGUAAUAAAAAAUUAAAAAAUAACUAUAGCCGAAGAAAUAUAGUCUGUUUUGUCGGCUAAACCUUAAAAAAAAAUUAAAAAAUAAUUAUAGCCUACGAAACAUGCCAUAAUUCGUCGGCUAAACCGUAAUAAAAAAAUUAAAAAUAUUAUAGCCGACGAAUAUAGUAUUUAAAUAUCGUCGGCUAAAGUUGCUGGUUUUUGAAAAAAAAACUGCAGAAACUUUCGGCCACCUCCAAUCACCACCAAAAUUUGACAGAAUUUUCCUCUCAACAUUUCGAACAACUUUCUAGAAGAAGUCGAAGCCCAAUUCUAAGCCUAAAUAGGUCAAUUGAAUCAAAAUAUAAAAAUCCCCAAUUUUAAACCCUAAAAACUUCAAAUCUUCGAUUCUCCUCACACACACCGAAUCGAGCUACCAAAUUCUAGGAGAAUGUAGUACUAAUCAAACUCAACUUAUCCAUAUAUAGAACUCACCAAAUGGUGACCUGAGGAAGGAGAAAUUCGAUCAACACCGAAUCCGAACCGGCGGAGUUUUGGAGCUCGAUUUAUCCCUCACGGCGGCGCCACUCGAUGCACCACCUGUCCAGCAAUGAAGUAGAGACGACGGUGAAGUUUUUGGGACAAGUGUGGUGGUCUCCGGUGGCUUGACGGCAGAGCUAGGCCAAGAAGAAAAUCCGGCAUUUUUUUGAUUUUCUGACUUCUUACCAUCCACCUCCGGUAAAACUCCUAUAUAAAGAACUUUACCCAACGAAAUUCUUUAUUUCGUCGGCUAAACUCUUUUGAAAAUUUUAGUUGACCGCUAAAAAAUUUUGGUUGAAAAUUUUGAAAAUUUUUCGACUUUAGCCGACGACUUUUCAUAUAUUUUCGUCUGCUAAAGUCCUUUGAAAAUUUUCCUCCAAAUUUGGUUUACCGUCAAAAAAAUUUGACCUGCCGGCGACUUUUUAAUAUCUCGUCGGCUAAAGUCUAUAAAUUCACGAAAACGCUCAUAUCUCCCUCUAUAUUAUAUAGUUUGGUCAAAUCUGCCACACGAAAAACUUUCACGUAGAUGAGACGCAACCGCCUAUAUAAAAAUUUUGAGACAUUUACCUUCCGAAGAUAGGGCUCCCCAUAGGGAAUAAUAACUGUAAAUAGGGUUGACAGCUACUAUUGGCACCGUGACGUUACCUGAUUUACUUGAUUUUUGAACCAUAGCUGUAUUUCACCAUUCUGAACACAUCUUAUUUCACAAGAUUUUUGAUAAUUUUGCUUCCUAUGUAGAGUUGGUUCACAAAGUUGUAUAAUCUACUAAACAAGUUAUACAACAUUAGUAGACACGUUCUGAUUCCGAUGACUUAAAUUCACAAACCAAAAUUUGACCGUCAGAUAUGAUCAUUAUGAUGAAAGAUGUCUAUGGUAAAAAAUUCAACUGGAUCCGACAACGUUAAGGGCUCGAUCGAAAUGGUCAACCAUAAUCCAUCGUUACUUAUCACACGAAAACGCUCAUAUCUCCCUCUAUAUUACGUAGUUUGGUCAAACCUUCCACACAAAAAACUCUCACAUAGAUGAGUCGCAACUGCCCAUAUAAAAAUUUUGAGAUAUUUACCUUCCGACGAUAGGGCUCCCCAUAGGGAAUAAUAACGGUAAAUAGUAGACACGUUGUGAUUCCGAUGACUAAAAUUUACAAACCAAAAUUCGACCGUCAGAUAUGAUCAUUAUGAUGAAAGAUUUCUGUGGUAAAAAAUUCAACUGGAUUCGACAACGUUAAGGGCUCGAUCGAAACGGUCAACUUUAAUCGAAAAUAAGAAAACUGCAUUUUGAAGCCCUAAACGGACUCGGAUGGCCAAAAAGGCCCAUAUGUCAUGGCAAAGAAAUGAGUUUGACUCGUAGGGCCGUUACGCUUCCGAAAAUGUAUCACAAUAGUCAAUCGGACACCGAACACCAAAUCUGCAGCAUAGUGAACAAUAAGAGUAAAUUUCAUUGACCGCAACUAUCAGCACUGAGACUUUACUGGAAUACCGUGAUUUUUCAACCGUAGACGUAUUUCACCAUUCUGGUCAUAUCUUAUUUCACGACUUUUUUGCGUUUGAAGGUUCUACAUAUAGUUUUUUUUUCCCAGAUGAGCUGUUGUCCAAAUCUGUAAAUAUAAGGCACUUUAGCCGACGAAAUUAUAUUUUUCGCCGGCUAAACUUUUAAAAAUUUCGUCGUCUAAAGUUGACCAAAGCCGACGAAAAUUUAAAUUAGCCACGAAGGAAAAUUUUUGUUGGCUAAAGUCCACGUUAGCCGACGAAAAAAAUAAUUUGUCGGCUUGGUUUUUUUAUAUUCGUCGGCUAAAGCCUUUCUUCUGGUAGUGUAAGGUUCCAACAACCGUUUUUCUUCAAUAGGUGCAUAAACAAAUCUACACCAAAAAAUCACUAGCAAAUAUGAACAUGAACAUAAGGGUUGACUACUUGAUUUAAACAAUACAGAUAGAGUACUGUUAACUUUGAUUACGUACUAAGUAGUUAAAUUAAUAUUCAUUUUUUUGUUGAAGGGGUCAUGAGGUAUACAUAUACAUCUGUGUGUGUAUUCGUUGUCAUCGAAUAUGUAUGCACAUAUCUCAUCAUGCAUGUUGAGUAUAUACAACUAUACAUCAUUAAUCUUGAGUUGUGACAUCAAUAUUGUUAUUCGUCAUCACCAGAAAUAUAAAACCAGCAUGAUUAACACAAAACUAGUAAACUGACCUUGGUCAAAGACUAUGCAACUCGGUUUGUAAUUCGAGUUGUAAAUUUUCUUUUGGCUAAACAUUCAAGUUGUAAUUUCUUUAAUCAGUCAUGUGAAAUAUAUAAUUCGUAACUUGUUUACACAUAUACAUGUAUAUGAUUUUCUUUGGUAGGUUGUAGAUCUUCUUUUUCUCAAGUCAAUUAAUAGCAUGAAAAAUAAGAAAAGAAUUAAUGUUGCUUGGCACGCCAACUAAUCUACUGUGGAAAUUAAACAAGUGGUUAUGUAUAACCAUCAGCUGCUUGACUUCACACAACAAACAAAUUACAAAAGACUUUGUCGCUCUCACUCAAUUUUCAGGAUUAUCAAGUGGAAUAAUGCCAAUAAUUAUCAGGGAACAAAUCGAUCUUUCUCAUUUGCCACACUAAUUUGACACGGCAUUGACUAGCUAGCAAAUGGUCCAUUACUGUAUCAAAGCUACUAGCUAGUCUUCAACUCUCUUUAUUAUGACAUGAAAACAAAGUAUUGUGCAUACGGGUGCAUAUAUACGAAGUUAACACUUUCGCCAAGUCUUCGUGUCCAACAGUCCAUGACCAGUAAACACGUAAAAGAAUGGUAUGCUCGAUAUGAUAUUUUCCAUGUGGGUAAUCCUGAUAACUAUUUUGCAUCAAAUUAGUUAUCAAUUAUUUGUAAUUUAUAAUGUGAUUCAACUUGAAUAUGACCAUGCAUGAUGAUUAACGAGUGGACUGAUCGAGUUAAUGCCGAUGAGAUUCUACAAUAGAAAUGUAUUCUGAUUUAGUAAUUACUAGUCUUUCACAAGUACUAACAAAAAAUUUAUUUUGACUAAAUAAAACUGGCUUAACAGUUCUAAAUAAAAAUGGCUUAAUGUUCUGAAUAAAACAUUUGAUUAUAAAACAGUUCUAAAUAAAACUGGCUUAACGUAUUCUUCAAGAUUCUUCCUAAAUAAAACUGACAUUUUAUUUUACAAAGUCUACAUAUUUAACAGCAAUUACCUUGUUAGAACAUGCACUUAUUGCAGUCAGACUCGCUGGCUUGACGUAUGGAAUGGGAUUGUGUGAACUGUGAACUAAUAUUGUAGACUUAUACAACCUUUUUUUUUUUUGAGGUAUAGACUUAUACAACCCUCUUUUUUUUUUUUUGAGUUGAAUUUGUAGAAUUAAGCAUUCAACAUUACCAACUUGGAUAAUGAUUGAUGUUGAAAUAUCGCAUAGCUGUGCAAGGAAAGUAGCAAACAUGAGACAAAGGUAAAUUGUAAGACAUCCUUUUAUAACAGGAUAAAUUCCAUAUAUUGAUGAAAAUUAUAAGAACAAGUUAGAGACGUCGGAAGACAUCUCAUAUCAUUUGUUGCCCAAAGACACGACUACAUCAAUCCCUAAGAAAAUAAAACAAUCCAAAAUAUUUGUCUAAGAAAGGAGACAAUACAACAAUUAAAACUCGACUUGAAAAUAAACGUACAAGACGGUAAUUAAAGGCACCUAACAUAUAUACCAGUUUUAUGUCUAAAUUGAGAUGCAACGGUGUACCUUGUCCACCAAUAUAUGUAAAGAUAUGGCCUUCAAUUAGAUUAUGCAGGGGAUGAGCAUUGUUAUUGUUCAACUUAGUAUUAAAAAACAAUGAGAACAACACAAUGAGUGUGACUUAUACAAACUCAAGUGAUUAUGAGAUUAGCACUCUCAAAGCUUAUGAUUCAUAUCAUAUUCUCAUGAGAGAAGACCUUAUUGUCUCAUCAUGAAAUCAUAUAGAUCAUCCGAUUGCAAUCUUAAUUAGAUUAGAUGUCAUUUUGGUCCGGACUGGCCAUAUCACAGCUAACCGCGAUGUGUCUACUAGUCUAUACAUGCAAACUAGUCAAACAAUUACCAAAUGCAUGAGAGUUGUCAGUUGUGAGAUAUUGAUUUUCCCUUUGUAAUUAGAUUAAGGUUUUCUUUUUAUAAAAUGGAGGAGAAUCUUGAUCGAGCAAAUUAACCCCAAGUAAUAAGGAUGAGUGGACGACAUCACUUCAAUGUCGACUACUAAAGUCCAAGUCGCGCGGAUGCGUCCAACCAUGCAAGACUUUUUUUUUCUGCUUUUUUUGUUUUUGCGUGGAAGCUGGAGAUGAUUAAAAGGCGGGACCAGUUCAUCUUCAAUUCUUCAUAUACUGCAAUUGAAACGUCAACCCGAGAACAGAAGACUCAUGUGUCUUUCCAUGGUUUGUGUUUUAUUAAAAUCCAGCAAAUGACGACGACCCAGUCUGGAAUAGAAAGCUAGCUCGAGCAGAGAGUGAAGUUGUCCGGAAACUUCCCCCCGCCUACGACUACAAAAGGCCGAAUCCGGAAUAUACGUACCGCUUUACUUAUCAUCAACAUUCAACAAUAUAUACAACUAUUUGAUACCAAAAAUCCUCUCAGUUGCAAAUAUCACAAACAAGCUAGUCCGGCAGGACUGCAUGCAUGUUGAUCAUGGCCUUGCAAUUCCGGUUGGCGGCAGUCCUACUCCUAUUAUCGGCUGCUAGUACUACGAAAACAGCUGCUGCUGCUCAAGCCCUUCCUGGCUGCUCUGACAAGUGCGGUGAUCUCACAGUUCCAUAUCCAUUUGGCAUGAAGGAGGGUUGUUACCUGGGAGAUGAAUUCUUUAUCAAUUGCAACCGCACGACUCAACCACCAACUGCAUAUUUGAGGAAAGGGAAUAUCGUUGUUAGUUGUUACUAACAUUUCCCUAGAGGUUGGGGAGAUGCAAAUAUCGAAGCGAAUAGGGCGAGAUUGUUACGAUGAAGAGGGCAACGAAACUAGCACAGCAGGAACGUUCAGUUUGGGACCUCCAAACACCAUAUCUGAUACCCAAAACAAGUUCUACGCCGUUGGUUGCGACACUUAUGCAACCAUGGAAGGCUUCCGAGGGGAAGAAAAAGUCAUUACUGGGUGCAUUUCAGUAUGCAACAGCCUCAGCAGUGUUAAUAAGAACUCUUGCUCUGGCAUUGGGUGUUGCCAGAUUAACAUCCCCAGUGGACUGACCAAUCUCACUUUCGAGUUGAGAAGCUUCUACAAUCAUAAGAAUGUAUCGGAGUUUAACCCCUGCAGCUACGCCUUCAUUGCAGAGCAAGGCCGGUUCAAUUUCAGCUCUUCUAGUUUUGAACAACUGAAUGGCAUUGAACGGCUUCCAAUGGUUCUUAAUUGGGCCAUUGUGAAUGACGCAGAUCCCUGCGAUGAGACUCAGAACAGGAAGGGUUCCGCAUGCAAGGCUAAUAGCAAGUGCUUCAACCCAGCUAUCAAUGAGUCUGUAGGUUACUUGUGCCAGUGCUUGCCUGGUUAUGAAGGAAACCCGUACCACCCAGAUGGUUGCACAGGUGACGAUUAUCUUUGAUUUACCUAUUCAGCUACUAUUAUAUCAAUAUAAAUUAAUUAAAGCUCUCGCCAUUGGAAGUGCAAGUUUACCAAAUUUAGUGAUGUCUGAUAGGCUUUUCCUUUCCUAAUUUCCCUUUCAGAUAUUGAUGAGUGCAAAGACCCAAACCUCUGCCAGAAAGGACAAUGCUUGAAUCUUCUACCUCCACAAAAUUACACUUGUUCAUCAUGUCACAAAGGAUACAAACACGACGGCACCAAUGACAAGAGUUGCAUCAAAGACGAUCUCGAAAGAAGCUCAAAGAUCGUUCUCCUGCUUAUUGUUUCAUUGGGUAUGUAUAUUUACAUAUUAUCAUGCAUGUGCACCCUAAACUUCUGUUGAAAAGUAAUGACGGACUGAAAUCUAUUUAGCUUCAGGCCUUCAGCUACGUACUUUAUCUCCAAAUUAUAAUAACCUCGUUUUCUCAUACUUUUUCUUCAAAAAAAAGUAACACAGAGAGAAUGCACAAGUCAUUUCCAUAUUUAAGGGAAGUUUUUUUUCUAUUGUUUGUUAAACGAGAGGGAACAGGUGCGCAAAUUGAAGAUUUUUUUUCUUUUUAUUCAUUUUUGUAGAGAAGGUCUUGCAUCUAGAAUCAAAAUCAAGGAAACUGCUACAAUGAGUUAAGGGGAAGAUCCUAGGGAAUCAGAACUAGAAUAAAAGGACAACAUAAUAGCACAGAAAAAAAAACCACCACCCUGUACCUCUGAAUAAGAUCAUAGAGAAUAUGCAAAAGCAAACUUAUAAGAAUAAAUUUGAUGAUGAAUUUUCAACUAUUUGUAGGUGUAAGUAUGGGCUUGUUGGUUUUUUUCCUUGGGAUUUCGUGGAUAUGUUGGGGAAUGAAGAAAAGAGAGUUCAUUAAGCAGAAGGAAAAGUACUUCAAAGAGAAUGGUGGCUUAUUGUUACUGCAACAACUCGCCAGUGAUAAUGGAAGCUCGAUGAAGACAACAAAAAUCUUUACCGCUGAUGAACUUGAGAGGGCAACAAACAACUACCAUGAGAGUAGAAUCCUUGGAGAAGGAGGUAAUGGAACAGUUUACAAAGGAAUACUACCGGAUGACACAGUGGUUGCCAUAAAGAAGUCGAAAGGUACUAGUGCCAUGACCCAGAGUGAUCAAUUUGUUAACGAAGUGAUUAUCCUUUCUCAAAUUAACCACAUAAAUGUGGUGAAGCUAUUAGGUUGCUGUUUCGAAACAGAAGUUCCUUUACUAGUAUACGAAUUCAUUACCCAUGGCACUCUUUAUGAGCACAUUCAUAAAAGAAGAUCACCUCUCCCUUUUGAAUUACGAAUGAAGAUAGCAACUCAAAGCGCAGAAGCAUUGUCUCACUUACACUCGUCAAUUUCCACACCAAUCAUACAUCGAGAUGUGAAAACGGCAAAUAUUCUGUUAGCUAAUGAUUACACGGCGAAAGUGUCAGAUUUCGGAGCUUCCCGUUUGGUUCAUUCAGGAACUGAUAUGCAAACUUUGGUGCUCGGGACAUUUGGAUACCUAGACCCUGAAUAUCUGCAAUCAAACCAGCUAACAGAAAAGAGUGACGUUUACAGCUUUGGAGUUGUCCUAGUGGAACUAAUAACAAGCAAAGUUCCACUUUCUAAAGAUAGAUGCUUAGCAAGCAUCUUUGUGGUUUCCAUGGAAGAAGAUUGGUUGGAUCAAAUUCUUGACGAUGAUAUAGUGAACGAUGGAAACAUUGAGACGGUAAAGAAAGUGGCCCAUCUCGCAAAGCGAUGCUUGAUGGUAAAAGGGGAGGAAAGGCCUACCAUGAAAGAAGUUGCGAAAGAGCUCGAGGAAAUAAUGAGUGUCACAGCAAAACAUCCGUGGGGAUUUAAUGCUAGUUUCUACCGAGAAGAGACUGAGUACUUGCUCGGGUCACUCAAUUCAGACGGUUACGUCGUUGGUGUUGGGGAUGAUUGCAGUUCUAGUGGUCUAACCAGUGGUACGGCCAAUGCAUAUGACAGCAUGCAAAAACAACUGCAGUUGAUGCCAUAUGGCGGUGGACGUUAGUUGGAUCGGUGUCGCUUGUAUGUAUUUUAGUAUGGUUGUUUCUGUCAGAUAAGUGCGUUUUCACAUUUUGCAAUUGUUGUAUGUAAGUAAUCAAGUGUGGUCUUACAGUCUUACUGGUGUUCUUUUGCUGCUAUUGUGCACACUUAGCAAGCAACUGGAUUUGCCUUAUCUAUGAGGUUAAGGCCUUUGCCUUUCACACGUCUACUAGUUGAGGAGACAUGUAUAUUACAUAAUAUGCAAACUAGGUAGAUAUGUAUUACACUAGUUGAAUUUGCAUGCCGUCACUAGUUUUCGCUUGGAACAUUUCCACCAGUCAUGUCAUAUUCAUAUAUACAAACCACUAAGGAUAGUGGGGUGGAAAACUCUGUCUUGGCUAACCUCCAGGUCUGGAGUUCGAAUCCCCAUGAAAGCAAAGUGGCUAGGCACUAUGCUGCAAUGCAUAGUUGGAGCAUUUCACAUGCGCCGGCGGAUUAGUCCUUAGGCCUACGAAGUCUUUGGGAUACCGUGACUUGAUCAAAAAAAAAAAAAUAUUCAUAUAUACUGCAAAUUUGAAAAUUUCCACCAGACAAAUCGUAUUGCAAAAAGAAAUUGUUUAAUUCCAUUUAGAUUACUUGGCACCUUGACGACUUCAUCUUCAAAAACUUCUAGUCUCCUACCUCAACUUGUCACCGUGGUCAUCAACUGUAACGGAAAACGAACUGUCACAUUGACAUAGCAUAGAAUAUUUAGUUAGUUGCAUAAAAUUAUCAAUGAAAAUGGAAGUUGUGCCCCGUCAGUUAAUUUAGAGUGAUGUGGUGAAAAGAAUUCAAAAGCCAACUCUAGACCAAAAAUAAACUUUUACCACCUGAUCAGUAAACAAAUCACGUAUAGGCAGAAGGGUCCUGGCUUGGCAAAGGAGGCACAUCAAGCUUUCGUUUUCUUGAAACCGAUUGAUCUCAUAACUUGUGCUUGACUUUGAUAUAACAUCUCUUCUAUAUUAACUGCUUGCAUCUAAACUAAAAGAUACCAACUUUUUGGGCUUACCAAGUGGCUUCGGGAAAUAAGAGAGACGACCAAGACAUUUUGAUUCGCUCACAACCUCUUCCAUUUGUCUACAAAAGCGAGCUUGCAAGCACAACUUCACUCAUAAGAAAUACAGUUUAUACAUUUAUACCUCUCAAUUUAAGUACCUGAAUCAAUUGGUGAAAGUAGAUUACCAAGUAUGCAAUUCAUACUGCUGGUGCUACUGGUUCUCCUCGCAUUUGCGGCCGCGGGCAAAGAAGCAGAAACAGCUGAAGCCCGCCCGCCUCAAGCCCUUCCUGGCUGCACUGACCACUGCGGCAAUCUCACCAUUCCAUAUCCCUUUGGCAUAGAGCCUGAUUGUUACAAGACAGAAGACUUUUAUGUCUAUUGUAACACAACCACUACACCCCCAACAGCAAUGUGGAACGAUGGUCCCAUUGCUAUUAACAACAUAUACCUGCCUGCGGGUGAGAUGCAAAUAACGCAGUACGUAGCCUAUGAGUGCUAUAACAGCCUGGGCGAGAAUGAUUACAACCAACCAUUGCUUGCCGUGCCUCCUUUCACCGUCUCUCAUACUAGAAACAAGUUCAUUGCCGUUGGUUGCGACACUUCUGCAGCUUUCAGAGGUUACCGUGCAGACGAACAGAGGUUAAUGACCGGAUGCAUGUCCAUAUGUGACAACCUUGACCGCAUUGAACAGUCUUGCUCCGGGGUUGGGUGUUGCCAAACUGACAUCCCCAGCGGACUUGAGAAUUACACUCUCACACUGGAAAGCUAUUAUAAUCACACAUACAUACUGGACUUCAAUCCAUGCAGCUAUGCCUUCAUUGUGGAAGAAGGCAAGUUCACCUAUUCCCCCGAAUACAAGUUUCCAAACACUACCCAACACCAAAGAGCUUCCCCUGAUUCUUGAUUGGGAAAUUGGGGAAGGCGCAUGUGAUGAAGCUGAACACAGAGAUGAUUAUGCAUGCAAGGCAAAUAGCAAGUGUGUCAAUCGGACCAUCAGUGAUGGGCUAUUCUAUAUAAUAAAACGAUAAGGAAAAAACCACUGUUCAUAUCUAUUCAGAAUUGUGCUAUUCCCCUGAAGUUUCGUGAAUUAUGUUUUGGCCCUAGAUUUGUUACUGAUUGCAAAACUGUCCUCACUGUGUUGCGUGUUAUUGUUGCUGCGUGGCCUCCUAUUUUCAUUCCACGAAGCUCUCUCGCUCUCUCCGAUCUCUCUGUCUCACGCAUGACGGCGGAAACGAAGAAAAAGGCCGACCGAUCCCGAUCAAAUCCGAGCCAGGGUGAAAGAACAUCGAUCUGGGUAAUUGGGUUUCAGUUUCGUUUUUUUUUUUUUUUUCUAAGAUUCUUCCAAUUGAUUUUUGUAUUAUUUCGAUCAAACCCGAGCCAAGGUGAAAAAAAAGGAUCUGGCCAUAUGUGUUUGGUUUUUGUAUGAUUGUUGUUUUGAAUCAAUAGGUAUUUCUUUUAUCUCAGAUUCUUCAAUGCAUGGAUGCUGUUGAUAUUUCCUGUGAUGCCUUCCUUGAGCCUUUCUUCCUCAAAAACAUUUGCACCGCCGACUGCUACGAGAAGUGCUCUAGAUAAAGGAUUUCGGGACGAUUUCGGGUUGAGGUAUUUGAGCUUCUUCCUUCUGCUUCGUUCGGUUUCCAUUUGUGUUUUUCAUUGUUGAUUUCAUAUUCCGCUUGCAGUUCAUGCUUCAUAGAAUUUACUAUGCUUCAUAGAAUGUAACAUCAAAUAUUUGGUGUGGUAUGUACCAAAAUAUGUAUGAAAAAAUGUAACAUCAAAUAUAUAUGCUCUAGCUGUAUGAUGUAUGAUAGAAUGUAACAUCAAAUAUUUUGUGUAGUAUAUACCACAGCUUCUAUGUUCUGUAAUGUGUAUUCUCUCUGUUUUUCAUUCUUAUCAUAUAGACAAUAUUAUCUGUUCGCUAAUCUAACCAACACGUAUCAGCAGCUCACGCCCACAUGUGACAACAUCAACUUCACAUAGCUGUAUAACCACAUGUCGACAUUAGCUCACAACAGCUUCUUUCAAUUAUCACCUAAGAACAUGACAAUACUUUGCCGUGUGAUCUUCCAUUUAUUUACCAUCACCUUCACCCACGUCUAUAUAAACCUGGAGACAAAUGAACCUGCAUAAUGAAGUGCUCUCCAUUUCUCUUCAUAUUUCUCCGAACAUUUUACACUACUAUAAAGAAAAAUAAUCUUUGUAACAUAUGCCUGGAGAUCAAUCAUUUGAACGAUUUUUUUUUCGCUGAUCUGUACUUAACGCAUCCUUGAAAAACUAAUUCUUCAAGUGGUUGUAUUUCCGGGCGACUGUUACCGUGGUAAUGUCUGCAGCCAUACAACCCAUGUAUGUCGAUCCAUGCAACACAAAUUCUACAGGACAAAUCAGGAAAAGCCUUCCUGAACAACCAUAUAAACAUUUCCUUUUUCUUUCUUUUUUCCUUUUUUUUUUGUACGACAAAUCGACAAUAUGAUCUGCAAACCUAGACAUGAAUUAGUUUGAUAGCAGUAAUUUCAACUCAAAUUCAGUUUUUAAUUAAUGGAAUGUUUAAUAUUCUGUUUGCAUUUACAUAUCAGACAACUGUAUUGGGAUGGAUUAAGCUUAGGAUUGAAGAGUUGGUUUAUAACUUCGCAAUAGCUUUAUUUGUUAAUGUCCUGAUAUUGAUGCACAAACAUAUAAUUGGUCGAAGUUUCAACAUCUGUUGCUAUACAUGGUUAAUGUAAUUGUCAGAUUUGUACAUAGGCUUCUCUUUUUACCUUUUUUUAUACUCUGUUGUGGUUUCUAAUGGGAAGUUUGAGACCGCUUUUCUAAUUUUGGUUUGUCUUGCAUGUUGGUUAUGCAUGAGAUUGAUUGUGGCUAUUUUGUGAAGGUUUUGUGAUAGAUUCCAGAUUUUGGCUUUGAAAUUGUAUGCGUAGCUCCAAUUCUUAGACUAUAUUUCAUACUACUAUAUUAGAAAUAUUUGAAAGAGAAGAAUCAAAUUAGUGUUUGAGGAAUCAAUAAUAAGGAGCCAAAGGGUGCCGACCAAAAACUGGGUUAGAUAUUUACUUAUCUAUAUUUUACUUGCAUGUUAAUGAUUUGGUUUAUAUUGAAUGCUGCCAAUGUAUUAGUAUUUUGGUAUUGCGUAGUUAUUAAUUGUAUAGGAUUGCAGUUUACUACAAUGAAAACAAGGUGUGCCUGUCUAUUUGGUUAUUGUGUCUGUUUUAAGAUUUUAAUGUUUAUAGCAUUUUGAAAUAUAUUAUGUAUUUCAAUUUUAAUUUUUGAAAUUAGCUACGUUUUUUGGGUUAUUUCUUUUAAAUUUUGUUGAGCAUAUGAUUUUUGUUACAAUGGUGAUAGUUGCAGUCCUUUGAUUAUAAUUUAAGUUGAGUUGCUGCUAUCCUACCGUUACGGAAUCAGGGCCGUUGAGCUUUGUUACAAAUUAAUGAAAACAUCAGUAUCAAUUGUUUGAUUGGGGUUGAUAAUUUUUGUUCUGUUUUCAGUGUUGGUUCUUUCACUAUCUGCAAUCAAUCUCAUUCUCUCAAGUGCUUAUCGGUUCCUUUGGUUGGAUUAGCUGUUUAAGUUUUUUGGUUUGGUUUGCAUUUUGGUAAUCUUUUAGGUUUAAUCAAAUUGGGUGUCUGACUGUUUUGCAGACGUUUCUUUCUGUUUUUCCGGUGGUGAUCCCCAGUGUCAGGACAGGUAUUUACUUUAUCUUUUUUUUUACUUGCAAGUUAAUGGUUUGGUUUGUAUUGGAAAAGCUUUCAAUGUAUUAAUAUUUUUGGUUUUGGUGAGGUUUGUGGUGAGUACUUUUUAAUUUCGUAUUAUUUGAUGUGCCUAGCUGAAUGGUUAUGGGUGUGUCUGUUUUAGGAAUAUUGAUGUUUAGACAAGAUUUUAAUAUCUAUCACAUAUUUUAAUUUACACUUUGGAUGUCAUCUGGUCAUGCAUUUUGUUUUGGUGUUGUUUUAAUUACAUUUGGUAUCGCAAUUGACCAUACAAUGACAAAUUUUGCAUAAUGGUACAGGGAAAAAAGACAGAUAUUUUUUAUCUGUGUAUCAUACUUGAGUUUAAACAACAAACAAUGCAAAGGUAUAAUUGCAGUUGUCCACAUAAUAUAAAUUCUUCCAAAAUGGUGUAAAAAUGAGGAUGAAUGUUUGUUACGUAAUUUUAAAUAACAAACAAUGCAAAGGUUUACUGCAUCAAAAACUGAAGUUAAAUAGAUUGGCCAAUAAAGUAGAUGGAAUCUGACACCGGUCCAAUAUCUAAGACAUGUUUAUAAAUCGAUGUUACUGCAAGUGGAUUUUAGUUUGGAACUUUUUAUGUGUAUUACAAUAGUUUUUUUUUUGGGUUACCCAGCAGAACAAAGUAUUUGAUUGAGUGAGAGAUUGCGUAUGUUUGUUUUUAAAUUGACAGCUUCUAUAAUAUUCGCUUCUGGAUAUUCAGGGCCAAAAAAAAAUUAUAAUCAUGAUGAUAUUAAUAUAAUUUGGUACAUUGAAGUGUUAAAAAAAACCUGCUAUUGAUUUAGUGCAUUGGUUUGAUUUGGUGUGGGGAUACAAAUUCAUCUUGCAGCCUACUAGAUUUCAGGCAUUUGAGUUGUUUUGGUAGUUACAAUGGCAUCGCUUAAAAUAUAAUUUGGUAAAAGAAUGCAUGUUUUAACAUGGUGCUGUUAAUGUUAGUUCAGAUUGUUAUUCAGACAAGUGGUGAUGUGUGCUAUUAUUGGGCUCAUUGAUUUGAGAUUGUUUGAUGAUAUUGCCAUUUCAAUUCAGAUUGCGUUGAAUCUAGCUAUAAGUUCUUUGUUUAUUCUUUUUUUAAAUACUUUUUGGACAGUUGUUAAUCCAAUUUUUACUGUUCUGUAUUGUUGCCAUUGAUUUUUAUGAACUGUUAUUAUUUUAUUGAUGCAUUGUUAUUCAUGUGAAUAUUUGUUGGCACUACAGGUUAAGAGAAAACUUAAGGCUUUAUUACAAAAGUAAGGAUAAUUAUUUUGAUGGUUUGCUGUUAUGUCAUCAGACAUGUUUGUUGUACUUUACAUUUUGUGCGUUGCUUGAAUACUUAUUGUUCUAUUAUUUGGUGAUAUUGGAAAGUAAGAUGACUCGAAAGAAAAGAAUUCGGGAGGAAAAUUUGUCAGCUGCAUCGUCUGAACAACUUGGGUGCAGUGGUCCCUCCAUGAAUGCUUCUGUUAACAGUAGACCGGGUGGUGCCAAUGCAUCAAAUGAUUGUGCUGAGUCUUCGUCUACAAGAGGAAUCGAUGCUCUGAGUGUUGGACAAUCUAAUAUUGGGCAGGCGUUUUAUUAGAGAAGAAGAAAAACAAAAGGUUUGUGUUUGGGGUGCUUUGUUUAUUUAUGUGGUUAUCUGAAUUGAAUUUGUAUGACUUCUGUUUAAGAUGGUGUGCUGUUUUGUUUCUAGGUAUAUCGUCUGCAUAUGUAGAUGUCGGAGAUAUGACAAACGUUUGUGUUGAUUGUCAUGCAUUGUUUUGGUUGCAAGAGUCAAAAUUUAUUCCAAGGAAUGGAAGUCCGGUCUAUACAGGCUGCUGCCAGGAAGGUCGGAUUAGGCUCCCGCCUGUUAGACCUGCUCCAGUUUUUUUAGAAUACUUGCUUGAUUCCACUAAUGGUCAAAAGAGUGUGCAGUUUAGAAACAAUAUUCGGAGUUAUAAUACCAUGUUUGCAUUUACUUCAAUGGGAGCUAAUGUAGAUAAGACGGUGACUGAUGGUCAUGGUCCUUAUGUUUUUAAAAUUAGUGGACAGGUAUACCAUCUUAUGGGUUCACUUAUUCCUCCAGAAGGUAAGUGCCCUAAGUUUGCACAAUUGUACAUUUAUGAUACUGAGAAUGAAGUUGCAAAUCGACAAAAAGCUGUUGACGGUUUAGACUCGGAAAUUGUUACUAGAUUGAUUGAUAUGCUUGAUGAAAGCAAUGAAUUGGUUCAGUAUUUUCGUUCUGUUCGAAAUAAGUAUAAUGAAAGAUCUCUGCGUUGUUUAAACUUGACACUUCUUGACAAUGAAAGAAUAAAAGAUAGGGAAUACGAUGUGCCAAGUAGUAGUGAAGUUGCUGGCUUGAUUGUUGGUGACAUUGGGUUGUAUGAAGCUGAUAGGGAUGUAGUUGUCGAUACAUUUGAAAAUGGUUUGCAGCGGAUAUCAAGAUUACAUCCAAAAUUCAUGUCAUUUCAAUACCCAUUACUCUUCCCUUAUGGGGAGGAUGGAUAUCAUGUUGGUUUGAAAUUAUGCGCACGCAAAGAUAAUGAGAAUCGCAAGCGAGAAAGGAUGUCCAUGUGUGAUUUUAUGUCAUACCAAAUACAUGAGCGUGCAAAUGAAUCUUCCACUUUGCUGAAAGGAGGCCGACUUUUUCAACAGUUUUUGGUUGAUGCCUAUGCAAAUGUUGAAGAAAACCGUUUGUUUUAUAUUAGAAAAAAUCAACCCGAUAUUAGGAGCGAGACUUAUGUGGGCAUAUGUGAUGCUUCAAUAAGAGAACAUGAUGGUGAAAAUGUAGGCAAACGAAUUAUUUUACCAAGCACUCAUACAGGAAGUCCGCGGUAUAUGAACAAACAUUACCAUGAUGCUAUGGCUUUGUGUCGGAAGUAUGGCCCCCCUGAUUUGUUCAUAACACUUACUUGCAAUCCAAAAUGGCCUGAAAUUGAAAGAGCAUUGUUGAACAAACAUGGUAGCAAACCUGAGGAUCGCCCAGAUAUUGUUGCAAGAAUUUUUAAGAUGAAACAUGAUGAUCUUAUUAGUUACGUUAAAUCUGGCAAGCCAUUUGGGAAGGCUAUUGCAGGUAAGUACCUUUGUUUACAGCGUCCCCCCUUUCCCUUUUUCCGAUUUAAAACAUUAUGAUAUUUAAUUUUGAUGUUUUUAUUAAUCUCAUUGGUAUACAAUGUAAUAUGCAGAUGUUGCGACAAUUGAGUUCCAAAAACGGGGAUUACCUCACUCUCACAUGUUAUUUUGGUUGGCUGAGAAUAACAAGUGUUAUUCGGCUGUUGACAUUGAUUCAAUAAUCUUUGCUGAACUACCUGAUAAGAAGGUCAAUCCAACUUUAUAUGAUAUUGUGAAUCAAUUUAUGAUCCAUGGUCCAUGUGGUGUGCUGAAUCCUAAAGCUCCAUGUAUGAAAGAAAAUAACUGCAAGAAAUCAUUUCCGAAAGAAUACAUGGAAAACACAUUGUUUGCAGCUAAUGCAUUUCCCAUGUAUAUGCGUCGUGAUGAUGAUUCUAAAUUUGUCAUGAAAAAUAAUGUGACAGUAGACAACCGCUUUGUUGUUCCUUACAAUGCUGAACUUUUGUUAAGAUAUAAUGCGCAUAUAAAUGUUGAAUCAUGUUCUCAGUCAACCUUGAUAAAAUAUCUGUUCAAGUAUAUAAGCAAAGGUCCUGACCGAGCAAGAGUUGGUAUUCACUCUGAUUUAAAUGAUGAAAUUGCAGCGUAUUUAAACUGCAGAUAUAUAUCUCCACCUGAAGCUGCAUGGAGAUUGCUUGAAUAUCCAAUUCAUUCUCGGCACCCACCUGUUGAAUUGUUAAAGAUACAUUUACCAGGACAACAAACCAUUGUUUUUGGUCAAAAUCAACCGUUAACCUCAGUCAUUGCAAGACAAGGAUCAGACGAUACUAUGCUCACAUCAUGGUUUCAUGCAAAUACAAACGCGGAGACAAAGCAUAUAGCAAAUAUGUUGACAUUUGCAGAGUUUCCUUCUGCCUUUGAGUGGAAUAAUGGUACAAAAACUUGGACACCACGACAACGAGGCUAUGCAAUAGGUAGAUUGCCAAAUAUAAGUCCGACGAGCGGUGAGUUAUAUUAUUUGCGCCUACUUUUGAACACACGUAAAGGCUGCACAAAUUUUAAAUCUAUUCGGACAAUAUGUGGUGUUGUGUAUUCUACGUAUCAAGAAGCAUGCCGUGCACUCGGGUUACUAGGUGAUGAUAAAGAGUGGAGUGAUGCUAUAACUGAGGUUGUACCAACAGCAAUGUCAUAUCAAUUGCGCCAUCUAUUUGUUACAAUUUUGUUGUACUGUGAUGUUUCAAAUCCGUGUCAACUUUUUGAAACACAUUGGCGUAAUAUGUGUGAUGAUAUUAUAUACAAUGUCCGUUCUGAUUUUAUGAUGCCACACCUAAACAUAUCUGAACGAGAGUUACGAAAUUCUUUGUUGUUUGAGUUAGAGCUACUUUUUGGUAAUGCUAAUUCAUCGUUAGCGAAGUACCAUUUACCAUUGCCAGAUAAGGAAAAAAUGUUCGAGUUGAAAAACAGGCAAUUGAGAGAGGAAUUAAAUUAUGAUUGUGUCGCUUUACAAAAAGAGUACCGAUCUUUAGUAGCAGAAUUAAAUGAUAGCCAGAGAAGAAUAUUUGAGAAUGUGAUUAAUGUUGUUAAUAACAAAAGUACUGGCCUUUUUUUGUUUAUGGUCAUGGAGGCACAGGGAAAACAUUUUUAUGGCACACCAUUAUUAGUAAGCUAAGAUCGGAAGAGAAGAUUGUGUUAGCAGUCGCUUCCUCUGGAAUUGCGUCAUUGUUAUUACCAAACGGGAGAACUGCUCAUUCCAGAUUCAAGAUACCAAUUGACCUUACUGAUGGUAAGGUCUCUUCAAUAACAAAGGGAACACAUCUUGCUAAAUUGGUUGAAAAAACGGAUUUAAUUAUUUGGGAUGAAGCACCGAUGACUAAUAAGUGUUGUUUUGAAUCUUUAGACACUUCACUUAGGGACAUAUUAUCGUAUCGUUUUACACCGGGAACCGUCCCGCCAUUUGGUGGUAUGCCUAUUGUACUUGGUGGAGAUUUUAGGCAAAUAUUACCAGUUGUAAUUGAUGGGAAAAAGUCUACGGUAAUUGAUGCAUCAUUAAAUAGUUCUUUGUUGUGGCCAUUGUUUAAGAUCUUUUACUUGACAGAGAAUAUGAGACUGCGAAAAAAGGAAAUAAGUGAAGAGGAAAAACAACAAAUAUCAGAGUUUGCAGAAUGGUUGUUAAAUGUCGGUGAUGGAAAUAUAUGUGGCAUAGAUGAUGAUUGUGAUAGAGAUUCAAGCUGGAUAGAAAUACCGUCUAAUAUGUUAAUUGAUAACACAAGUGAUCCAAUUCGUUCUAUAUUUCAUGCUACAUACCCAGAUUUUCUCAAAAACUACAACUGUUUCGAUUAUAUUAGAGAACGUGCAAUUAUUACACCUAAAAAUGUUGAUGUGACUGGCAUAAACAAUUAUGCAAUAGAUUUACUGCCUGGUCAUACAGUAACCUAUUUAAGUUGUGAUUCUAUAUGCUUGACAAAUGAUAAUGCCGACAAUUUAAGCUCAUCAUAUCCACCAGAAUUGUUGAAUAGUAUUGAAAUCAGCGGAUUGCCAUCACAUAAAUUAGUUUUGAAAAAAGGAAUGCCUGUUAUGCUACUUAGAAAUUUAAACCAAACAAAUGGUUUGUGCAAUGGGACAAGAUUGAUUAUCACAAAUUUAUUUGACAAGAUUAUUGAAGCUAGGGUGUUAACUGGAACUCAUGUGAAUGAGAAAGUUUUUUUGCCAAGAAUUGUAAUGUCUUCUUCUAACCAGAAAUGGCCAUUUAUAUUGAGGAGGAGGCAAUUUCCGAUUAAAGCAUGUUAUGGAAUGACGAUAAAUAAAAGCCAGGGCCAAUCAUUAAAACAAGUUGGUUUAUAUUUGCCUCAGCCUGUUUUUAGUCAUGGACAAUUGUAUGUUGUUUUAUCUAGAGUAACCUCAAGAGAAGGAAUUAAAAUUAUGAUUUUAAACGAAGACAUACCAAAUACGUAUACAAAGAAUAUUGUGUAUAAAGAUGUGUUGAAAAAUUUACAGUCGCAUUCCGACUAAUAUUGUGUAAAAUGUCCAUACAUGAAACCCGGUUGAUGAUUACAAAUAUAUAUGUCAAUGUCAUUGAGGCACAAGUUUUGACCGGAACACAUGUUCAUAACAAAUUUUAUUUACCACGAACUGUACUGUCUGCAUCAAAACACAGAUGACCUUUUGUUUUAAAAAGAUGCCGAUUUCCAAUAACACUGUUAUGGAAUGGCAAUAAAUAGAAGUCAGAACCAAUCAUUAAAACAAGUUAAGUUAUACAUGUCGCAACUAUUUUUCACUCAUAGACAAUUGUAUAUAGCUCUCUCAAGAGUAACAUUGAGAAAAGGAAUUUACAAAAAAAAAAAAAAAAAAAGAAUAUACCAGAAAAAAAAUACUAAAAAAUAAUGAAAACAAAAAUGUUUUGCAAAGUUUGAGACCAACUCUAAAGCUCAUCAUCAACCGAUACCUCCACCAAUUAGUCCUUCUAUCUUCAGCAAAACAAUGAAUAAAAAUUUGCAGGCCAACAUCAACAAGCCAAAAACCAAACCUUCAGUAAAUAAAAAAAACGGAAGGCAAAGGUAAACAAGGGUAUAAUUGUCAAUUCUAAACAAGCCCUAUGUGUAUAUAACUAUACAGCUCUAUGUAGAAGCAGCCGACUCAGAUCUUUCACUUUCAGAUUUGGUUAUAUCUCUAACCUGCACAUCUAUUUUCUACUUAGCAGUGAUCCAACCUACAAAUCCAACCUACAAACUGAAGACAGGUAUUUUGUUUCUCUGUGCUUGCAUAAACGAUCAAAACUACACAGAUUGCUUUAUUCAAUUAUGCAUAUCUUAUUUGAUACUCUUAGAUAAAAAACAAAUUCAGUUGUUUUGGUUGACAUACUUUCAAAAGUGUAAAUCCUCUCUUCUAUGCAACCCAACAACCAUAAAAUGUCUCUUUUAAGUCUAAUCACAAUUUCAUUCUUAGUAUAUUACACUGUCGCUGUCGAUGAUUCCCAUCUUUUUUUUUCCCCCAAAACAGAUCUGCUUUUGCACCAUGUCGACUACCCGAAUUCGUGACAUUAGUCCUGGAACGGGUGGCAUGAAGAUAAAGGUUCGAGUAUCCCGAAUGUGGAGAGGAAAAGUUCUCAAGCCUGUCCAACGAUAUGAUGGCUUGGGAUGCGUGUUAGUCGACCAAUAUGUAAUUGUUAUAAUAGUUGAAUCAUUUUUAACAAGCACCGAUUCAAACAUUUCUGAUCAUUGUCUAUAUGUUAUAUAAUUAUGAAAGAUACUUAUUAUAUCUAUCAAUUGUUACACAUACAGGGUGACUCCAUCCAUGCCGUGGUCAUGGAAGCUGACAUUGAAGAUGUCUUAAGCAAUAUGGCGGAAGGUCCUGUCUAUGAAAUAAGCAAAUUUAGGAUCAUGAAAAAUCAAGAGUCUCAUCAAGUUGUGCCACAUACAGCACAGCUGCAGUUUAACAAUAAAACUGUGUUCAAACUGAUGCGUGAAGAAUUCCCGGCAAUACCCAUACACUGCUUCAACCUACUGGACUACAGCGAACUUCCUGCACGUAACAAAAAAGACACUAUAUUGACAGGUACAAAUUCACAAUCAAGGUGUUCACUAAAUUUAUAUAAUAUGUACAUAACGUUCACAUUUUAUUCUAAUAUUUGAUUGUUAAUCAAACUUCAUACUUUCUAAACGUUGUCUUUUUGCUAAGUAGAUAUAAUUGGGCUUAUAAAGGAGAUGCAUCAAGUUGAAGACACUCCUGUCAAAGGACAAUUGGCAAAAACGCGGGAACUACGAAUACAGAACACAAGGUACCAAAUUGUGAAUAUUUAGGUUAUAAAUAUGUUGACUGUCUAAAGGUUUAAUACACAAUUUCAGUUAUUUGAUAUAUUCAUUUACACACAAUUCUACUGUUGUAUGCGUUUACUGUUUUCCCUAGGAAUGAAGAGCUGCAAGCAACACUUUGGGGAGAACUUGCACUUGACUUUGAUGCAGACAAGAUACUUCAGUCACCCCCGCCAGCUGUGAUAGUCAUUACGAGUUCAAAAGUGGCCACGUAUGCAAGUAAGAACAAAUGUCUUUUUUCUCGACGAGAUCACACUAUUUAUUAUUUCGAAUUGAAUUACUUCUAUUGUCUAUUCUUAGAGAAAAUAGUGGUCAACACAAGCUUGAACAGCUGUGUCUUCAUCAAUCCAAAUAUUCCUGAGUUACAGGAAUACAAAACAAGGUACACAUUUAAAGAUGAAAAUAUGGCCAUAAUUGACAUUCGGUAUUCAUUGUGUGCUAAUAUCAAAUUCUGUACACCUCAAUAAAAUUGUAGGUUCUCAGCCCGAACUAUGCCCCAAAAUUCAUACCAAGCUCAGGCCAAAGCACAAGUUCUUCUGUCACAGAAACAUCAAACAUAAUCAAUAUCGGCAACCUCAUCUUACAAGAUGCAGAUGAAAACAAGGUAACAACUUCUAAAAGGACAUAAUUUAUUUUUAAUUUUUAUUUUAUUUUUUCCUUUUGAAGCUCUAAAAAGACAUAAUGUUGUGCACCUGUUGUUAUGUAUAUUAAAAAAAUUACAACUAAUGUCAUAUGUGACUUCAAAAUGUCUAUAUCAACAUAGGAUUCCAUGUUCACCUGUCGAGCUAAAAUUACAAAAAUCAUCACUCGCGAAGGGUGGUACUACUUUGGUUGUCCAAUCUGUAGAGUGAAGCUACAAAUGGGAUCCGACUCUGUAUUGAAUAAAUGUCCAAACCAUGGAGAGCAAGCUGGAAAGCCAAAGUAAGCAAAAGAAAUUUUUUUGAUUAACUAAAUCUAUGAUACAUUUGUCUAAAUAACUCCACUGAUACUAAAAGUGUCUAUGUUGAUUUCACGGCCUUAUUCAUCUUGAAUAUCGCAUGCGUAAAUUUUUUUAUGAUGGUGUUACUAUUACAGGUACAAGAUGCAAAUUCGUCUCGAAGAUGAAGAUGAUUCAACUUUGGCCAUGCUCAUGGGCAAACCUGCAGAGAUACUAUUUAGAAAACCCUGUAGCCAAUUGAUAGAUGAAGGAAGUACAGAGAAAACUGUCAUCCCGAAAAUCAUCCUUGAUACAAUGCACAUAUACAAAAUCUGGAAGAUUGGGUUUGGUACAAGGAAAGAUUUCAUGGUUAGAGGUGUUUACCCUGACACUGAAAAGGUUGGCCAAGAGAUAGAAGAACCAAAGACAUCGGGGAAACUUCCCUUGAAGAGAAAAUCAUGGUCACCAAAAGAAAGCACUCUGCAUCAACUUUUGGAGUCCGACAAAAAAAAAAAAAAAGGUUUCAAUCUUUACUAUAGUGUCCAUCUAUUCUUUCUUAAUGUAGAUACUGAAAUAUUUAAUGACUUUUACAUCAUAAUUGACAGGGAAGCAGGAGGCAGUAGCAAGGACACAGCAAAACCAGAUUAAGUUAGACAUGAUAGCUCCAUUGUAAUAAUCUAACUAUGUUUUGGCUACCAACUUUUGCAAGGGCGAUGGUGUGUGGAAAAUGCCCUCUUUUGUUCAAAUGAUGUUCUAGCUUGCAACUGGAGCCAAUGUGAUCUGUACAGUCAAAUAGUUUUUGGUGUGUGUGUAUAUUAACAGCUUAAUCUACAACGUUGUAAUCGUUACAGGAAAAUGGCUUUUUGAUGUGAAAUAGUUGUGAUCUGUACAGUCAAAUAGCUUCUGGUGUGUGUGUAUAUUAACAGCCAAAUCUACAGACUUUUUGAUGUGAAAUAGUUUUUGGUGUGUCUCUAUAUAUGUAUAUCAGUUACCAAAUUAAAGGUGUUGUAAUUGCCUUAACUGAUCUUUAUAUCCACUUUACUAUUAUUUGUUUUCAAGUCGAAAUGUAUGUCAAUAUCUCACUUUAUUACAAUUAAUUUUGUUUCUUAGUAUUAAUAAUCAGAACAAAAACAUUUAAAGCAGUCAAUAACUGGUACCCGCAGCAACGCGCGGGCACAUACCUUGUAUGUCACAAAGGGCCAGUACUAGGGGUGACGCAAGUGCCUCCUGUCUCAAUGCAGGUUCAGUUGGGGGCAGGAGGAGGGGUCCCCGUAGUCGCAGUUCCUAUACGGCUCUCAAUGCUGCUCCGGGUGAAUUCCAUCAACCACUUGCCUCGGCUCUUAAUGCUGCUCCAGGUGAAUUGCAUCAACCAUCUGUGGCGGUUGGUGUUUUCGAGACGCCUGCUAUGGUCAGAAUGGUACGAAGAUCACAGAAUAGAAAUCAACCUGGACCAUAUUACGUCUAAACUCCACCUCGUUUUAGCACUAGUUCUAUAUACUAUAGCAGGAAGGCAAUAUAACUGUUUAUUCAGGUAGAGAAAUGACGGUGUUACCCCCGGUUUGCAGAAAAUUACAAAACUGCCACUGCAGCAUCUAUCUCCACAGCAAUACGUGAACACAUGAAAUGUCUGUUUUGCCCCUGCUUCGUAACUAAUCACAAAAUUGCCAUUAUCUGCUCUGUCUUGACAUCUGCUGUUUUUAUAUUGCUGUGUUGGACAUCUGUGAGUCUGGAUUGCUGCCAUGUGUCUUGGUCGUUGACGUCUGGCGUCGAUGGCUUCUUCUCCACGAUCGGUUCGAGUGUAUCGAGUGUUCAUUGACCAUCUUCUUUGUCGCUCUUUGUUGUGAGAGAGAGAUGGGUUAUUCGUGAAAUGAAAAUUUGUAUGGCUCUUCUCAAUCAAAUGGUCGAGGUAAUGAUAUUUGUUCUGUAUAUGAUCGAUUCUGGGUUUCUAUUUCGUUUGCCCUGAUCGUAUUUACCAUUGUUUUGAUACCGAUGCGUUCAUUCAAUUGUUAAACAGGUGUCUGGAUUGCGAUCCAUAUUCCUUAUGAAAAAAGGUAUUGUGUUGUUGUAUCCAUGAACAAUCAACUUAUUUUAUUAUGCCUCAUUCUUGGUGCAAUUACAUGUUAUUUCUGUUCAGUUCAUGUUCAAAUUUUGCUCAAAUUUCAUUAACAGAUUAUACUCUUGGAUCCUAAUUAAAAUUGAAAUUGAGGAGUUUGUCAAUUUUUUUUUUGGCUCUAUUUAAGGGUGUUGAAAGUCUUUGAUGGUUCCAUUUGAUGGUACAUUUGCAAGAACUGCAUGUAUUAACAAUUUGUAUGUUUCAGAUCUCGACUUCGCUAUUCUGGACUCUGGAGAUGAAUCAUUUUGCAUUGGUUGAUGGAAAGCCAUAUCCUUUCGAUAUGAGAGGUGAGUUGGAUGACACUGGUGCUUUCAAGAACUUCAGUAAGUACAUUCACUUUACGUUGUUAUUACCAUGAAUCAUGAGCAUAUGAGCUAACAAAUCCUUUGAAGUUUGAACUAUAUCAGGAAAAGUUUAAGUGUUUGACAAAUCAAAUGAUGGAGCUAAUAUAUUAGAGUAUUUGCAGAAGAUUUGUUCAGUGAUAUUGGGGAAUUUUUGAUUUUGCAGGCUGGAAUUUUGUGUAAUGCGUGCAUUGGUUCAAUUUUCAGGUAUGCAUUUUAGUUGUUUAUUGGAAGAUUGAUGAUGUGUGGUGUUGAUGGAAAAAGUUAUCUGUACUUGACUUUGACUUAUUAAUAAAUCGGUUCUCUGCUAAAGAUAGUAACAAUUGUGUCAAAUUUUUACAAGAAUUUAUGACAGUACACAUUGUUCUGAUUUUUUCCAUUGAGCGUUGCCAAAAACAAUAUCCAAUUGAAUAGUAGGGAGUUCUUUGGUCAAUGAAUUGAGUACAGAAAAUUAGGGAGUUCUUUGGUCACUGUGGACUACAAAUUGGAAACAUUUGGUACUUCAGGUCUAAGAUUUCAAUAGUUUUAGAUAUAGCUUGAGGCCCAAUAUUGAAACAUUGAAAUCUUCAGUGAUCAUUAACUUACAAGGUCUGAUAGGAUUCAGUUCAAAAAGGGUCAUAUUAACAAAGGAAGUUUGGAAACUGACACCUGCAUUUCAAUAUCAAAAUGUAUGUCUAAAGUUUAGAUGAAUAUUAAAUACUUUCGAUUUUGAGUCUUAGCUGCUUGCAUUAUAAUACACGCUCAUUGCAUCCCUUUUUUGUACGUUUUGAUUUAGAUUUAUGCUGCUAUUGGAAAUGUUGGUGGAAGGGAGUUAGCUGUCAUCUUUUUAGUUCUUAUAUUUAUUUAGAACUACUCAGAAGGAUCUGUUUCAGAUGGAAGCAAUAGCUGAUAUUGUUGAUUAUUCAUGAGGGGUAAAAUACUCUUAACAUGUUUACUUAUCGUUUACUAUUUAUUUCAUUUACUGUUUGAAAAUGCUAGAUAUGUUUCUUCCACUGAAAAGUUCUCUGUGACCAGGAGACUACCAAAGGUUGCAGGAAAGUCUACAAUUGAACAUCAAGUUUGGAUAAUGAGUUUCUGAUAAUUUUGAAAUAUAUGUGAGAGCAUUAUAACUUUCAACAACAUUUAAACACUUUAAGACCAUUACUGGUUUUCAUAAAUGUGUUGUGGAGCUAUUCAAAAUAAUGAAGGACAAUAUUGAGCUUGCAGUUUUUGCAGAAGAAUUUUAAUGGGAAAUAUAUAUCAGUGUUGUCAAUGCGUAGGAAACUAUCAUUAAAGCUUUGAAUGGUGUUGAUCAUCCAUCUUUAACAAGUCUCUUCUAUUUACUUUGGCAGCAUUGAAACCCUCCAAUGCUGGUAUCAGGCCUACUUAAUUGUUUGUUCAGUUUCAACUGUUUAAGGAACAUGAGCAUAUGAGCUGACAAAUCAAUUGAUCUAUUUCAGAAAAAGUUUCUGUGUUUUGACAAAUGAAAUGAUUCAGCUAAUAUACUGUAGAGUAUUUGCAAAAGAAUUGUUCAAUGGGGAAUAUAUCAGCUUGGUUGAUGCUUUGGGAACUAAGCAUAAAGCUUUUAAUGGUGUUAAUUAUCCGUCUGUACCAAGCCCUUUAUUUACUUCGGUAACAUUGGAGGAAUAUGAUUUCAGUAUCAAGUCUAUGCAAUAGUUUGUUCAAUUUGAUUCAACUGUUUAAAGGAUGAGCUUAUGAGCUUACGGGUCCAUUGAACAGUUAGCUUAUGAGCUUUUUUAUAUAUUCACGUUUGUCCCAAUCUGAUAUUUGUGGCCAUUUGUACAUGGUUCAGAAUAAUAUUCUUCCUCGGGAAUCUUUGUAGAGUAUUCAAGGCAGCGAGAACUAAGUCACCCAUAACAAUCAAAACACAAAUUAGUAGACAAUUGAGAGGUAAUUGAGAGCUACUACUUAAUAUAACUUACUUUCUCAUUGCAGAGGAGAAGAGAGCAAAAGGGCUUCCAAGUGAGUGUUGCUUAUAUCUAUAUCUAUACAUUUGUUUACUAUUUCAGAACUUAUUUAUGUUUCGCUGGUGUGGUUCAAAUGAAACCUCUGACAAAAAUAUAUUCUUUACUUUGCAGAGGACAAGGAAGUAAAGGGACCUCAAAGUAAGUUUAGCAUUUCUAUUUCAAAACUUAUUUAUGUUGCGAUGGUGCCCUUUGAAUGGAAUGAUCUAUGAUCAUCUUCUGAUGUUUAUCAAUUGACAACGAUUAGUAGCAGUUUCAUUUACAAUCAAAUCGAAUUUCUGUCUAAAAUAUGUUUUUCAAUUUGCAGAGGAGAAGGAAGCAAAUGGACACCAAAGUAAGUGUUCAUUAUAUCCAUAUCAGUGCAUUUGUUUUCUCUAAAAAUUUAUUUAUGUUGCAGUAGUAUGUCUUGCAUUGGUUUUGUUUAUCUUUUAACAACUUUAUCAAUAUUCAAUGCUUCAAUUUAAAUGUUUAUGUACUAGACGUCAACCAAACAAAGCUAAGUCCAAGACAAAGGAGGACUAAGGUUUCUGUGCUUAUAUAUAUGCUCGCUCCCCAGCAAUAGUUUUUUUGAUGCUAAGUUGCUAACAGGUUAGACGUACAUGGUUCUAACUACAGAUCGACUAUUGUUUUGACUAGCAAUGGGAAGCGUUUUGCUGUGCAGAAUGAUAUAAUAACACAUGACUUAUUUUUUGUGCUCUCAGUUAUUUUGGUGUGUAUGACAGUGUUGUCUACAGAGAGAGCAAUGUACUGUAUAAUACUACAAUGUGAUGUUUUUGUUUGAUAAGUCAUGUGUAUUGUAGACGCUAAGUUAAUGGAUUUUUUGUAAUCUAACAUUUUCAUUUUUCACCAUAUCUCCAUGUAAUAGUGUGUGUGUGUGUGUUUACUAUGCAAUAUCUCCAUUAUAUUGCUACAUUCAUUGGCAUACCAAACAACAUAAAAAUUUAUCCAAACAAAAACAAUUCCGGUGAUUAAUAUCAGUCAUUGCAAACCGUGGCAUCGCGUGGGCAUCAUCUAGUCUGGUUAUUAUUGCCAAUGCCAGCCGGGUUAUCAAGGGAACCCUUACCUCCCCGAUGCUUGCCAAGGUGAAAUAUGUAAAUAACAAUAUACAGUACAUGUGUAUGUGUGUCUCUGUGUGCACUUUUCAUUUGAUAUGUUUGAGGGUACAUGCGUGUUUGUGUCUGUGAUUCAGUUGCUGCAGCCGGAAAUUAAAGCUCCGGUUAUGGAUUAAGUUUACAUGUUUGUUAAUAACAAUGUGUUUUCCUGGGUUUUUCAGAUAUUGAUGAGUGCAAGGUUUCAAACCCCUGCACCAAUGGACUGUGUGAAAAUUCACCUGGAAGUUACUUACGCUUGUGUGACAAAGGGUACAGAAGCAAUGGAACGAAUAAUCAAAGCUGUAUUCAAGAGAUUCCCAACGACAAAAAUCAAACAAAGACGACGCUCCUGCUUAUUGUAUCAUUGAGUAUGUACUAUUUCUAUAAUAGCACGCUGCAUGCAUCAUCUGAUCAUAUAUAGCCUAAAGUCAAACGUAAACUUUUUUUGAACAAUAAUUAACCUGAUCAGCUAUAUUAGGACCCAAAAUGAAAUUCUCGUAUCUAAUAUUUAAAAUAUGCAUCAUUUACCUUCCUCAAAAAAUAAAAAAAAAUGCAUCAUAUACAAGUGAUUUGAAAUUAAAAAAAGAAAAUGAAAGAAUAUAUAUGCAUCAUAUACAAGUGAUUUGAAGAAGCUUUCACGGUUUCACCUACAAAUGUUAUCCCCUGCUUUUACGGUACCGACUUUUAAAAGCUUAGAAAGUUUGAUUGAUCUAAAUUAUUUCACUAAUAAUUUAGAAUCAAAUAAAAAUAACUAAAGAAUUUCAUCGAACUCACUAUAUAUGUGCAGGUGUAACUGGGGCCUUCUUGGUUCUGUUUGUUGGAAUUUCAUUGAUAUGUUGCAGAAUAAAGAAAACAAAAUUCAACAAACUGAAAGAAAAGUACUAUAAAGAAAAUGGUGGCUUAUUGUUACUACAGCAACUCGCUAACAAUGGAGGCUCAGUGGAGACAACAAAAAUCUUCACCACAGAAGAACUAGAGAACGCAACAAACAAUUACCAUGAGAGUGGAGUCCUUGGAGAAGGAGGCUACGGAACAGUUUAUAAAGGAGUACUAAAUUAAAGGACAACAAAGUGGUUGCCAUAAAGAAGUCAAAAGGAGGUACCUAGUUAAAUAGGGUCGGAAAUACAUUAUAAACGUAAUACUUUAUGUUCUUAUCAUUAUCCUUUCGCAAAUCAACCACAAAAACGUGGCAAAACUAUUAGGUUGUUGUUUAGAAACAGAAGUGCCUUUACUAGUAUAUGAGUUCAUCACCCAGGGGACUCUCUUUGAGCACAUUCAUAAAAGAAGAUCACCUCUCCCUUUUGAAUUACGAAUGAAGAUAGCAACUCAAAGCGCAGAAGCACUGUCUCACUUACACUCCUCAAUUUCCACACUGAUAAUACAUCGAGAUGUGAAAACGGCAAAUACUCUGUUAGCUGAUGAUUACGCGGCGAAAGUGUCAGAUUUCGGAGCUUCCCGUUUGGUUCCUUCAGGUCCAACUGAUAUGCAAACUUUGGCAGUGCCCGGAACAUUUGGAUACCUAGACCCUGAAUAUCUGCAAUUAAACCAACUAACAGAAAAGAGUGACGUUUACAGCUUUGGAGUUAUCCUAGUGGAAAUAAUAACAAGCAAAGUGCCACUUUCUAAAGGGAAAAGCUUAGCAAGCAUCUUUAUUGUUUCCAUCAAAGAAGAUAGGUUGGAUCAAAUUCUUGACGAUGACAUAGUGAAUGAGGGAAACAUUGAGACGGUAAAGAAUGUUGUCAAUCUCGCAAAACGGUGCUUGAGGGUGAAUGGGGAGGGAAGGCCUACCAUGAAAGAAGUUGUCAAAGAGUUAGAGGAAAUGAGUGUCACGGCAAAACAUCCCUGGGAAUUUAAUGCUAGUUUUUGCGGAGAAGAGACUGAGUACUUGCUUGGAUCACUUAAUACAGAUGAUUCCGUGGUACGACCAAUGCAUCUGACAGCAUGCAAAACCAACUGCAGUUGAUGCCCUAUGGCGGUGGACGUUAGUUGAUUGGUGUCGCUUGUAAUGUUUUCUUAAUCCUGUAUGUACGUAUUUUUUAGUAUUGUUGUUUCUGUCUGAAUGUCUGAUAAGUGCGUUAGAAAUAAAAGUGUAUUUUCGCAUUUUGUAAUUGUUGUAUGCAUGUAAGGAAACAAGUGUGGUCUUAGUCUUACAGUACACUUACCGGUGUUUUUUUCCAGGUAUUGUGAUUGAUGCAACUUAGCAAGCAACCGGUUUUCCUUGAACCAUAUAUGUGGUUAAUUAAAGGCCUUUGCCUUUCACACGAGUUGGUGGUGCUUGAAAGUUGGUAUGUGAUGGUCAGCACAUCAAUGGGAAACCUUAAUUUUUGGUUCUAGCCUCACCUAAUCAUCGUUCAUCAAAGUUACAUGAACCCUAACAAUAACACGGUUGAUAUAUACCAGCUUGGUCAACUUGAAGCAUGAGUCCGAUUGUUUUCCCAACUAGCCUUUUGUGAGUGUCACCAAAAUGAUCUAUGAUUUUGGAAAAUUCUAGUAUACAAAUUUGCAUAUAUAUCAUACAAACUAAGUAUGUGGCUAUCAUUGCUUGUAAAUAUAGUAAUAUGACAAUUUUAUCCUCCUCAAAAUACUUCUUGUAUGUCCUUACAUAGAAGUGAGUGGACCACUUUUUGAGUUUGUAUACCAUACACAUCUGUAUAGUAGACAAACCCAUGAUUUUCACCCAAAUCAAAACAAAAAUCGGAAUGCAUAAUAAUAAAGAAUUAGUCAUAGUCAUUUAGGAGAAUCAUAUAUAGCUCUCUGAAAACCCCAGAGAUCAUUUUCUUGACACGAAUUACAUCUCGUUCAAUGGUGAAUGUAAAGAGGAAGCAGUCAUGUACCACGAGCUUGAACUUCUAGAAGAGAAGGGACGCGCCACAUAGAGGGCAUGGCGCUCUUGAAGGAGUCGAAGGCCACCGCUCUGAACCAAGGAGCCACUCACGAUAUUUAACCUAUUUUUUAGUACCUUGUAGGUGUAAAUAUGGAGAUUGAAACUUUUCAUGAAUGCUAACAAUUUUCUUAGAUUUAAAGAAAUAUAAUCUCGAACCUUCCUAGCUCGAAGUACCAAGUCAACAGUUAAGGAUACAUGUAUAUGCAAACUAGGUAGAUAAGUACUACACUAGUUGAAUCUGCAUGCUCACUAGUUUUCGCUUGGAAAAUUUCCACAAGUCAUGUCAUGUUCACAAUGCAAAUUAGAAAAUUUCCUCCAGUCAUGUCAUCUUCACACUGCUAAUUAGAAAAUUUCCACCAGUCAUCUUCGUAUUGCAAAAGGAAAUUCUUUAAUUCCAUUUAGAUCUACUUGUGACCUGGACGACUUCAUCUUAUCGUCUAGAAAUUGACAUAAACUAAUAAACGAAACAAGUUCCUAUUUACAACUACCACCUCAACUUGUCACCAUGAUCAUCAACCAAAACGGAACACGAAUUGUCAUAUUGACAUAGCAUAGAAUAAUUAGUUAGUAGCACAAAAUUAUCGAUGGAAAUGGUGGUUGUGCCCCGUCAGUCCGUUAAUUUAUAGUGAUGGGGUGAAAAAAUAAAUAAAUCAAAAGCCAUUCUAAACACAAGGACCAAAAAUAAUUUUUGCCACCUGAUCAGUAAACAAAUCAAGUAUAGCUAGGCAGAAGGGGUCCUGGCUUGGCAAAGGCACAUCAAGCUUUCGUUUUCUUGAAACCGAUUGAUCUCAUAACUUGUGCUUGACUAUGAGAUAACAUCUCUUCUGUAUUACCUGCUUGCAUCUAAACUAAAAUAUCAAGUUUUUGGGCUUACCAAGUAGCUUCGGGAAAUAAGAGAGACGACCAAGACAUUUUGAUUUGCUCACAACCUCUUCCUUCUAUUCGUCUACAAAAGCGAGCUUGCAAACACAACUUCACUCAGAAGAAAUACAGUUUAUACAUUUAUACCUCUCAGUUGAAGUACUGAGUUAAUUGGUGCAUGCAGGUUACUAAUUAACUAAGUAUGCAAUUCAUAUUGGUGGUGGUACUGGUUCUCCUCGCAUUUACGGCCGCAGGCAAAGAAGCAGAAGCAGCUGAAGCCCUCCCGCCUCAAGCGCUUCAUGGCUGCUCUGACAAGUGCGGUGAUCUCACAGUUCCAUAUCCAUUUGGCAUGGAGGAGGGUUGUUACCUGGGAGAUGAAUUCUUUAUUUAUUGCAACCGUUCGACCCAAUCAGCAUAUUUGAUGGGCAGCAGCAGCAGUAUCAUUGUUACUAACAUUUCCCUAGAGGUUGGGGAGAUGCAAAUAUCGAAGCGAAUAGGGCGAGAUUGUUACGAUAAAGAGGGAAACCGAAACUACAACAUAAGCACAGCAGGAAAGUUCACAUUGGUACCUCCAUACACUAUAUCUGAUGCCCAAAACAAGUUCUACGCCGUUGGUUGUGACACUAUUGCAGCCAUGGGCAGCUUCCGAGGGGAAAAAGAAGUCAUUACUGGGUGCAUUUCAGUAUGCAACAGCCUCAGCAGUGUUAAUAAGAACUCUUGCUCUGGCAUUGGGUGUUGCCAGGUUAACAUCCCCAGUGGACUGAUCGAUCUCACUUUCGAGUUGAGAAGCUUCUACAAUCAUACGAAUGUAUCUGAGUUUAACCCCUGCAGCUACGCCUUCAUUGCAGAGCAAGACCGGUUCAAUUUUAACUCUUCUAGUUUUGAACAACUGAAAGGCAUUGAACGGCUUCCAAUGGUUCUUAAUUGGGCCAUUGUGAAUGACACAGAUCCCUGCGAUGAGGCUCAGAACAGGAAGGGUUCCGCAUGCAAGGCUAAUAGCAAGUGCUUCAACCCAGCUAUCAAUGAGUCUGUAGGUUACUUGUGCCAGUGCUUGCCUGGUUAUGAAGGAAACCCGUACCACCCAGAUGGUUGCAAAGGUGAAAAAUUAUCUUUGAUUUACCUAUUCAGCUACUAUUAUAUCAAUAUAAAUUAAUUAAAGCUCUCACCAUUGGAAGUGCAAGUUUACCAAAUUUAGUGAUGUCUGAUACGCUUUUCCUUUCCUAAUUUCCCUUUCAGAUAUUGAUGAGUGCAAAGACCCAAACCUCUGCCAGAACGGACAAUGCUUGAAUGAGUGAAUCUGCCACCUCCACAAAAUUACACUUGUUCAUCAUGUCACAAAGGAUACAAACACGACGGCACCAAUGACAAGAGUUGCAUCAAAGACGAUUCCGAAAGACGCUCAAAGAUCGUUCUCCUGCUUGAAAUUUCAUUGGGUAUGUAGAAUUAGAUAUUAACAUGCAUGUGCAUCCUAUGACCACCCUAAACUUCUAUUGAACAGUAUUGACGGACUGAAAUUUAUUUAGCUUCAGCUAUACUUUCGUUCCAAAUUCUAAUUUCGCUUAACCUAGUAAUACUCAUACUUUUUCUUCUAAAAGAAGUGAUGAAAAGAGAAUGCGUACGUAAGUCAUUCCCAUUUUAUAAAGGAAAACUUUUAAUUCUUAUAAGAAAAAAAGUUUAAUUUCUCUGAUGUGUAAAAAAAAGACGACGCUCUUCCUUAUUGUAUCAUUGAGUACGUGCUAUUUCUAUAAUAGCACGCUGCAUGCAUCAUCUGAUCAAAACCUGAUCAGCUAUGUUCGGACCCAAACUGAAAUUCUCAUAUCUACUAUUUAAAAUGAAGAACUUAAAAAAGAAAAAGAAAGAAUAUCCAUCAUAUACAUGUGAUUUGAAGAAGCUUUCACGGUUUCACCUACAUAUGUUUUCCCCUGUUUUUAUGGUACUGACUUUUAAUAGCCUAGAAAGUUUGAUUAAUCUAAAAAAAUUCACUAAUUAUUUAAAAUCAAACAAAAGUAACUAAAGAAUUUCAUCAAACUCCACUAUAACAAAUCUCCCUAGAGACAAUCAGAAAUAAAAUCAAUUUUGCCUCAAUUGAUUGUUGGUAUAUAUGUGCAGGUGUAACUGGGGGCUUCUUUGUUCUGUUUGUUGGAAUUUCAUGGAUAUGUUGCAGAAUACGGAAAACAAAAUUCAAGAAACAGAAAGAAAAGUACUUUAAAGAAAAUGGUGGCUUAUUGUUACUACAACAACUCGCUAACCAUGGAGGCUCAGUGGAGACAACAAAAGUCUUCACCGAAGAAGAACUAGAGAAUGCAACAAACAAUUACCAUGAGAGUGGAGUCCUUGGAGAAGGAGGCUACGGAACAGUUCAUAAAGGAGUACUAAAGGACAACAAAGUGGUUGCCAUAAAGAAGUCAAAAGGAGGUACCUCGACCCAGAGCGAACAGUUUGUUAACGAGGUGAUUGUUCUUUCUCAAAUCAACCACAGAAAUGUGGUGAAGCUACUAGGUUGUUGUUUGGAGACAGCAGUGCCUUUACUGGUAUACGAAUUUGCACUCUAUACGAGCACAUUCAUAAAAGAAGAUCAUCACUGUCAUUUGAACAGCGAAUGAAGAUAGCUGUUGAAACAGCAGGAGCACUAGCAUACUUACACUCCUCCACAUCAAUGCCAAUCAUACAUCGAGACGUGAAAGCAGCAAAUAUACUCUUGGAUGAUAAUUAUACAGCCAAAGUGUCGGACUUCGGAGCUUCACGGUUGGUUCCUCUAGGUCAAACCGAAAUACAAACUUUGGUGCUCGGGACGUUUGGAUACCUAGACCCAGAAUAUUUGCAGUCGAACCAACUAACAGAAAAAAGUGAUGUCUACAGCUUUGGAGUUGUCCUAGUGGAGCUACUUACAAGCAAAGUGGCAGUUUCUAAUGAUAGAUGCUUAACAAGCAUCUUUAUUUCUUGCAUGGAUGAAGAUCGCUUAAAAGAAAUUCUUGACGAUGCCAUACUGAAUGAGGGAAACAUUGAGACAGCAGUAAACGUGGCCAAUCUCGCAAAAAGAUGUUUGAGGUUAAAAGGGGAGGAAAGGCCUACCAUGAAAGAAGUUGCCAUGGAGCUAGAGGGAAUGGCAAUUAUGGCAAAGCAUCCGUGGGGAAAGAAUGCUAAAUUCUGUCCGGAGGAGAAUGAGUACCUGCUUGGUUCACCUACUUCAGACAGUUAUGACAUGGAUGCUAGAGGAGGUGAUCACAAUUCUAGUGGUUUAACCAUUGGUACGACUACUGUGUAUGACAGCAUGCAAAUCCAGAUGUUGAUUCCACAUGGUAAUGGACGAUAGUUAGUUGGCGUGUUCCUUAUGACUUAUAUACCAUGCAUUGUUGUAAUCCUUGUUUCAUUUUUAUUAGUGCCUUGUUAAAUAAGUGUAUGUAAGCAUACUAUUAAUUUGAUACGUGUAAAUUAAGUGUGGUCUUAUAUGUGUGUAUAUAUAUUAUACAAUCUGUUUCAGAUACGGACGUCCGCACCGCCUUAAAGUGCGGACAUCCCUCCUUUCGCCACCGUACGGCGCCGACGAGGGCGCGCCUCCACCCCAGCGAACUCCAGCAGCAUCCCCGACCAUUUUCCCUCCCCGGCGAGUCCGCCGAAUCCCAGUUUUCCUGCCAGAUCACCAAAAACUUCAAAAAAAAGUCAAUCUGGCCCGAAAAUUGGAAUUCGGCAGACUCGCCGGGGAUGGAAAGUGGUCAGGAAAGCUGCUGGAGUCCGCUGGGAUGGAGGCGCGCCCUCGCCGGUGCCGUACGGUGGCGAAAGGAGGGACGUCCGCACUUUAAGAGCCGUGCGGAUGUCCGCACCUGAUACUAGCUCCCUAAUAUAUUAUAUGUAUUUAUAUAUGAAGUGUUGUUUUGAAUUCUUUCCCUGAAUUUUGUACUCUAUGCAAUUUAUAAAGCAAUCAGGCAUAUAACAGUAUUCAUCGAUUCUAGAAAACAUUUUAUGCUUAAUUUCAAAACAUACAUCCAAAUCAAGGCUUUAGACUAUCAUCAUGAACAGGCGUAUUCCUCUGGAUUAAUUGGCUAAACAAAUUCUAGCAAUAGUGAGGACUUACAGAUAUCAAGUAAUAGCCAGUUGAACUGGGAGCACUUACUGGAAUCAGACAAGUAAGUUGGACCGCCCCCUUCAUCUAGAAGCUUUGCCUGGGGAAAUCUCAAACAGUAUAAGUGAGCGUGCCUGCAAACUGAAAAAGCAAUCCAUGUCAAAACAACAUCUUUUUAACAAUGAAGAUGAUAUGACAACAGAAGCCAUGCAAUUUACAGAUUUUAAAGCUUCCCCGUUCAAUCUAAUGAAGAUCAUUGUCAAAUAGAGCCCAACAGUGUUACAGUACAUCAGUGCUAGUGGUAUUUUAGGGUAUUAUAUGUUCACGACUUCACAGAAUAACUGUGAAGGAAAACUACAACCACCAGAGCUUAAGCCCCAAAGCAAACAAUAACGUUACACAUUUUCAGCCUAACCGGGACAAUAAACCUUAGCUGGUAAGAUCUAGUGAAGAAUUACUUGCUCAUUUAUUAAAAGUGUCUUCCCAAAACCAAAAAUAAUAAAAAAAGAAAAAAGAAAUCAUGUUACAGGCCUAAGCCACUCAAGGAAAGCUAAAGAACAACUUGACUAAGGGAUAAUUCGCGACUACUACAUAUACAACCAAGUGCAGUGAUAAUGCAACAUCUGAAAAUGCGAAAUGAAGUUACUCAUGUACAUGUCAUGAUGGGUACACAAUCUACGAUAAGAACAAUGAUCGUUGCGGCAAAAAUCUUGAUACUUCCAUACAAAUUACAGUGGGUAUGUAUUGAUAGCAAUGUGAUUUACAAUUUUAAAUAUGAGCUUCCGCACUAGCAUGUUAUUAUUUAUUAAAGACUGUAAUUCUGUAAACACAAUAUACAUAUCUGAUAAAAUUCAUAAAGAUAAUCCGUUGUGAUUUUUCAAUUGUAUGCAGGUAUCAUUUUCAGCUUCUUGGUAAUGCUGGUUGGAAUUUCAUGGAUGUAUUGGGUAAUGAAGAAAAGGAAGUUCAUCAAAUUCAAGGAGAAGUACUUCAAAGAAAAUGGUGGCUUACUGUUACAGCAACAACUUGCUACUCAGGUAAUGGAGGCAAUAAAAGUCUAUACAACAAAAGAACUUGAGCAGGCUACAAACAAUUACCACAAAAGUCAGAGUUCUCGGUGAAGGAGGCUACGGAACAGUUUACAAAGGAUUUAUUAUCAGAUAACAAAGAGGUCGCAAUUAAAAAGUCAGUUUGUAAAUGAGGUGAUUGUCCUUUCUCAGAUAAACCAUAGAGAUGUAGUGAGGCAAUAUAUUAGGUUGUUGUUUAGAGUUCAUUAGUCAUGGUACCCUUUUUGAACACAUUCAUAAGAAAAGAUCAACUCUUUUAUUGAGUUUUAAGAUAGCAGCAGAAACUGCAGGAGCACUAGCAUACUUACAUCAUUCAACUUUCCAUGCCCGGGAUGCGAAAACAAUGAGAAUAUACUGUUAGAUGAUAAGUAUAUUAAUGAAACACUUGAAUGUAUGGCUAAUCUUGCAAAAACAUGUUUAAAGUUUUACCGUGACAGAACGCGAAUUGCAGUGAAGCAUCCAUGGGGAGGUAAAACCAAUUGUCUUCCAGAGGAGACUGGAGCCACCUAAUUCAGAAGACGCCGCUAUUGGCCGGAGUCGGUAACCCAGCCGAUGCCGUAGAAACGGACGCCCUACUUUUAUGUGAUUCACGGCUUCCAUUUUGUGCAUUCAGAUAUCUCCCAUUUCGAUUUCUGUGGGAAUGCCUUUUGGGUUCGGCAAUAUUAACCCCAAGACUAAGAGUGAUAAAAUAAAAUAAAUAAUAUUCACAAGCAACACGUGAGCAACUCUGAAGCUUUUAGCUCAAUACAUAUGGUUAGCUUGAGGUGCUGUUUAACAAUCUCCGACUUGGGUCUUGCAGAACUCGAACUGGGUUCUCCAGAGGUGACCAUUUCUAUGCGUCGUACCCGGCUGGAACUGAGCUCCUGAGAGACGAAGCUAAGGUUAGUUAGUUUUGAGUGUGUUUGGUUUGAUUGGUAUUGGUUUGGUCACUUUGGUGUUACAUGUGAUACUUGAAUUCUUGGUUUGGAUUUGAGCUGUAUAACCUGCGUUGGGUAAUUGCUUUGAAACGGAACAAUGCAAGUUUGGAAACGGCCUUACGCGACAGUAUAUUAUAACUACUGAGAAUUUUGUCCAAAGAAAAAAACACUACUCAGAAAUUCAGAAUGUUCAUCCUUGUUUCUUUGUUUUGACCAUAUCAACUGAUGAGAUGUUUUGAUACAUGUUUUGAUCAACUAGAGUAUUAGUGACCUCAUAUUGACCAACGUGAAUACGUGAUGGUUUGUUUGGUCAAGUUUUAUGACAAUUUAAUCAUUUUGAAAUAUCUUUGAAAUCGUCCUUAUGGUACUGAGUUAGAGUAAUUAUGCCAUUGGCGGUCCCAUAUUGACUCGUGUUAAAUGUACCAAGUUGGAUGUCCUGUCCGGCCUGUUGUAUUUGCUACAUUGUCACAUUGCAGUGUACACACACAAAUCCGUGCUACGAUGAAGAACAUUUCCAUGCACGGAUACUACCAGGUCUUCCUUCCACAUGCCUACAAAAGGACCUUAUUGCUUGAAUUUACGUUACUCACAAGCAAUUCAUCAUUUUCCACCUUUCUUCUUCGAGUUGUAUCAUGGCAGCCUUGCUGGGGAUCUUGCUUAUCAUUCAGCUCUCAUUCGUAAUCAUCAUCGGAGUACUAAUUGUGUCAACAACAGCAGCACCACCUCAAGCACUGCCUAACUGCCCAGACAAAUGUGGUAAUAUCACAGUUCCUUAUCCCUUUGGCAUGGCCGAAGGUUGUUACCGAUCAAAUUCCUUCUUUGUGAAUUGUAGCCUAGCCACCGAUCCCCCAACAGCUUAUUUGAGCAAAAAUGGCACUAUCAUCCUUACCAACAUAUCCAUCGCUGAUGGUGAGGUGCAAAUAUUAAACACUAUAGCUCGAGAUUGCUAUAGCGCCUCUGGUCUGAGAACCGUGAGGAACAGCCCUGUGCUACGGCUGAAAUCUACUUACAUCAUCUCCGAUACCAAAAACAAGUUCAUUGCCGUUGGUUGUGACACUUACGCUAUCUUCAAGGGAUUCCGGGGCUCAGAUGAGUCCGUAACUGGAUGUAUGUCAGUAUGUAACAGCCUAGACAACGUUGAUCAGAAUUCUUGCUCCGGCAUUGGAUGUUGCCAAACAAACAUUCCUAGCGGACUGCACAACCGUUCUGUCACACUGGAUAGCUAUACCAAUCAUUCAGGUAUAUGGGACUUUAAUCCCUGCAGCUAUGCGUUCAUUGUUGAAGAGACACAGUUCAACUUCUCUGGGAACACAACUUUUCAACAACUGAACAGCACCACACGGCUUCCGAUGGUUCUUAACUGGGCAAUUGGGGAUGAUCCAGACCCUUGUGAUGUAGCUCAAACGAGGGAGGAUUUCGUAUGCAUGCAAAAUAGCAAGUGUGUGAAUCCCCCAAAUAGAAAUGGCUACAUUUGCCAGUGCUUGGAAGGUUAUGAAGGGAACCCAUACCACCCAGAUGGUUGCCAAGGUGAUCUCUACUUCUAUAAAACAAUUGGGAAAUAAAACACAAAUUUGGAUUUAAUACCCUGAAUUACCUGAUUAACUAAUCUGGUAUGUGCAUGUGUGUUUUUAUUUCUUUUCAGAUAUUGAUGAGUGCACGGAUUCAAACCUCUGCAACAAUGGCAAGUGCAUAAAUUCGCCAGGAAAUUACUCUUGUUCAUGUUCAAAAGGAUACAAGAUCGACAACACGAAUGACAAGAGUUGCAUCAAAGAGCAUACCAAAAAUAAAUCAAAGAUGACAAUCCUGCUUAUUGUUUCAUUGAGUAAGUACACUUGCUUACAUAGUGGUUUAGUAAAAUGCAUUUCCCUAGCCUAAAUUCUAAGAUAAACUCUUAAUCAAUAGUAAUUAACUAAUUGCAUCCAAACUUGUUAACCUUUAGUUACUUUGAAUCUAGCCUAGGAUUUCCAUAUAAAUUUUCUUGAAAGAGUAAGUAAUAUAAAUUUGCAAUGAGUAAGUAAUAUAAAUUUCUAGUUCUAAUUUCAGUUACAUUUGAUCAUAUUGAAAUCCUCCAAUUUCAGUUCCAAACAUUUUUAACAACCAUCUUUAAUUAACAAAUAUAUCAACCAUCUUUAACAAACAAACGAUUGAACUUUUGGAAAGAAAGAGGUGCAAAACCUUUCUGCUCAGAGAGAAAAGAGAGUCCUCUUUCUUUUGUCAAGAACAUAUUCACCUAGAGAAAACAGAGUUUAAGUUCUAACAGAAGGGGAAGGAGUAAAACCUUCAUUUCCUAAGCUCAAUAAGAAAAGCCCAGUUAAACCAUUGACAAAAUAUCAAAUCUAAUUUGGUUGUGAUUUUAAUUAUAUGCAGGUGUAAGUAUAGGCUUGUUGGUUAUAUUUGUGGGAAUUUCAUGGAUAUGUUGCGGAAUAAAGAGAAGACAAUACACUAAACUCAAAGAAAGGUAUUUCAAAGAGAAUGGUGGCUUAUUGUUACUACAACAACUCGCUAGUCAUGGAGGCACUGUGGAGACAACAAAAAUCUUUUCCACAGAAGAACUUGAGAAGGCAACAAACAAUUACCACGAGAGUAGAGUCCUCGGAGAAGGAGGCUAUGGAACAGUUUACAAAGGAAUUCUACCAGAUGACAAAGUGGUGGCGAUAAAGAAGUCGAAAGGUGGUGCCCCGACCCAAAGUGAUCAGUUUGUUAACGAGGUGAUUGUUCUAUCCCAAAUAAACCACAGAAAUGUGGUGAAGCUACUUGGUUGUUGUUUAGAGACAGUAGUGCCUUUACUAGUAUAUGAGUUCAUCACCAAUGGUACUCUUUACGAGCACAUUCAUAAAAAAGAUCAUCACUGUCAUUUGAACUACGAAUGAGGAUAGCAGUUGAAACGGCAGAAGCAUUAGCAUACUUGCACUCCUCAACUUCAAAUCAAUCAUACAUAGAGAUGUGAAAGCAGAAAAUAUUCUGCUAGAUGAUAGUUAUACGGCGAAAGUGUCAGACUUCGGAGCUUCAAGAUUGGUUCCAUCAGGUCAAACUGAAAUACAAACUCUAGUGCUUGGGACCUUCGGUUACCUAGACCCAGAAUAUCUGCAAUCUAACCAACUAACAGAAAAAAGUGACGUCUACAGCUUUGGUGUUGUCCUAGUGGAGCUACUAACAAGCAUAGUGGCACUUUCCAAGGGCAAAUGCUUAACAAGCAUCUUUCUUUCUUCCAUGGGUGAAGGUCGCUUGAAUCAAAUUCUUGAUGAUGACAUUGUGAAUGAGGGAAACAUUGAGACAAUAAAGAGAGUGGCUAUUCUUGCAGAAAGAUGCUUGAGGGUAAAAGGGGAGGAAAGGCCUACCAUGAAAGAAGUAGCAAUGGAGCUAGAGAGAAUGAGGAUUACAUCAAAGCAUCCAUGGGGAACUAAAGUUGAUUUCUGUCCCGAAGAAAAUGAGUACCUGCUUGGGUCACUUGAUUCAGAUGCUUAUGUUUUGGAUGUUACAGGAGGUAAUGGUAGUUCUAGUGGUUUUACUACCGGUACAACCUCAGGAUAUGACAGUAUGCAAAUACAAAUGUUAAUGCCAUAUGGUUAUGGUUCCGGUGAUGGAAGAUAGUUAAAUGGCGUGUUGCUUCAUGUGUAUGUAUUAUGUAUUCUUUAGGAAUGGUUUUUGAAUUUAAGCAGUUUCUCAGACAAUAAAAUCGUAUUUUAGCAUAUAAGUUCAGUGUGGUCUUGAGUGUUUGCUCCCUGGUUUUGUACUUGGUGAAAUAGCAAGAUGGAAUGCAUUGCACUGUUUAGGAAAUAAAAUUUCAAACAAAUGCAAAAUCAAUCACUAUAUAUCGUAAUUUUGGUUAUUUCUAGUUUUCUACUAUUAAACCAGACAAGUAAAAGUUAGAUGAAAAAUCAAUUGGCAAUGGGUGAAGUGACCCAAACCCUUAUAAACCCACAUGCAAGGUCUCAUAUUCUCGAUGUGGAAUUGAUAUCUCAACACGCCCCCGCACGUGUGACGAAUUUUCAAGUCUAACACGUGGACAACAUUUGAGGUGACGUGGAGUGCGUGUGGCCUUUAGGUUUCACACAUGGACGUUGGGUAAUAUGCUCUGAUGUCAUGAUAAAGUAGUCUGGGUGUUCAUAUCUAAAACCAAUUGGUAAUGGGUAAAAUGGCCUAAACUCUUAUAAAUUCACAGACAAUGUCUUAUAUUCCCGAUGUGAGAUUGAUAUCUCAACAAAACAAAAAUAGGAGAAACAUGACCAAUAUGUAUUACUGUAUGUUUUCCAAAUUAAGAUUGGAAUGGACUAAAUCUUAGUUAAAUAUAUCAAACCACUCGUGCUUGACUUGGGACGCCAAUGACUAUUAGUCCAGUAUAGAAGGGACGACCCAGCACAGCAUACAGAUUAGACAUUGGAUCCUUAGAAAUUUAGUAGUCUAGAUUCUAGACAAGAAGACAUUUCUAAUGAGCCACCGUGUCCAUACUUGGUCUUCCUUCCGAUGCUUAUAAAAGAACAGGCAAUCAAGCACUUCCUUUCCUCAUAACAAACACAAUCUGUGGCGCCAUGGCCUUUCAUGUGAUCAAGAAACUCUCUUUGCUACAAGCACUUCUUGCUGUAUUAGCGGCCACUGCAACAGCUGCAGCGGCUGAUCAAACGACUCUCCUGCCUCAAGCCCUGCCCGGCUGCCUGGACCACUGUGGUAUACCUCACAAUUCCAUACCCGUUUGGCAUUGGUGACGGUUGUUACCUGCGACCGGAGUUCAAUACUACUUGUUAUGGUCUCAACUCGGCAUAUUUCAACACCACCGCCGGUGCAAGAUACAUGACUCACAUAUCCCUUGAAGGGGAGUUGCAAAUAAUUCAAGAAAUAGCUUAUGAUUGUUACAAUGACAUGAACGAGCCGUUGUUCAGCAACAACCCCUCGCUCUCGCUGCCUACUCCUUAUACAAUUUCCGAUACCAAAAACAAGUUCAUUGUGGUUGGUUGUGAUGCUUUAGCACUAUUUCAAGGCCACCGGGGGGAUGAGAACUACACAACCGGGUGUAUGUCAAUAUGUAACGACAAUGUUGGCAGUGCUAAUGCAUCUUGCUCUGGUAUUGGGUGCUGCCAAACUUCCAUCCCUAGUGGUCUUCAGAGUCUUGGUAUGAAAGUGAGUAGUUUUACAAUCACUCGUACAUAACAAGCCACUGCGGCUAUGCCUUGAUAGUGNNNNNNNNNNNNNNNNNNNNNNNNNNNNNNNNNNNNNNNNNNNNNNNNNNNNNNNNNNNNNNNNNNNNNNNNNNNNNNNNNNNNNNNNNNNNNNNNNNNNNNNNNNNNNNNNNNNNNNNNNNNNNNNNNNNNNNNNNNNNNNNNNNNNNNNNNNNNNNNNNNNNNNNNNNNNNNNNNNNNNNNNNNNNNNNNNNNNNNNNNNNNNNNNNNNNNNNNNNNNNNNNNNNNNNNNNNNNNNNNNNNNNNNNNNNNNNNNNNNNNNNNNNNNNNNNNNNNNNNNNNNNNNNNNNNNNNNNNNNNNNNNNNNNNNNNNNNNNNNNNNNNNNNNNNNNNNNNNNNNNNNNNNNNNNNNNNNNNNNNNNNNNNNNNNNNNNNNNNNNNNNNNNNNNNNNNNNNNNNNNNNNNNNNNNNNNNNNNNNNNNNNNNNNNNNNNNNNNNNNNNNNNNNNNNNNNNNNNNNNNNNNNNNUGCCCCUACUCAAACGGAUCAGUUUGUUAAUGAGGUUAUUGUUCUUUCUCAAAUCAACCACAGAAAUGUAGUAAGGUUAUUAGGUUGUUGUUUAGAGACAGAAGUCCCUUUACUAGUACAUGAGUUCAUCACCCAGGGCACUCUAUUUGAGCACAUUCACAAGAAUAAGGGUAAAGGGUCAUUACUUUCAUGGGAACUCCGAUUGAAGAUAGCAUCAGAAACUGCAGGAGCAUUAGCAUACUUGCACUCCUCCACUUCCACACCAAUCAUUCACCGGGAUGUGAAGACAAUGAAUAUACUGUUAGAUGACAACUACACAGCCAAAGUGUCAGAUUUUGGAGCUUCACGUUUCAUUCCUAUCGAUCAGACUCAACUAGCAACAUUGGUGCAAGGGACAUUUGGAUAUUUGGACCCUGAAUACUUCCAUUCAAAUCAACUAACAGAAAAGAGUGACGUCUAUAGCUUUGGAGUGGUACUAGCAGAGCUACUCACAAGUAGAGUAGCUCUUUCUUUUGCAAGGCCUGAGGCAGAGAGAUGCCUUGCACACUUUUUUGUUUGUUCGGUGGAAGAUGGCAACUUGAACCAAAUUCUAUGUGAUGACAUUGUUAAGGAAGAAGAUAUUGAUCAGAGAGUCAUAGAGAAUGUAGCACAUCUUGCAAAGAGAUGUUUGAGGGUAAAAGGGGAGGAAAGGCCUACCAUGAGAGAAGUAACCAUGGAGCUAGAAGGAAUGAUUAUGACAAAGCAUCCAUGGGGUUCUGCAGAUCAUAACUUCCCAGAAGAGACUAUGCACUUGCUGGGAUCACCUAAUACUUUCAUGGAUUACAUUGUCGAUGUUGAUGGCGAUGGUGGUCCUGGUACAACCAGUGCGUGUGACAGCAUGCAACUCGAAUUGUUAAAUUCAUAUGCUGAUGGGCGAUAGAGUUAAUAGACUGUAUAAUUUUCGGUGAUUGAAAUGUAAACCUUUAUCAGAUUGCGUGGUGUUUAAAUGUAUCUUUUCUGUGUGUAUGUGUAUAAAUACGAAGUUAAUCAGGUCUCUUAUAUAUGCACUCUCCAAAAGAAUUUACCCAACACUCAACCCCCAUUCCACAUAUAUUAAGUGCAUAUAUUGAACAGAUUACCAUCCCAUUAUAUUCAAGCGCAUGCAAGGAGUAGAAAUCAAUACAAGCAACGCAUUGAUAGUACUAUUUGUAUAGGUUACUUUGUCAUGCAAAGGCAAGAAGGCAAAAACAGUACUGAUUCUCAAAACAGUCUAUCGUAGUUUAUAAUUCUAGUGACAGUGAAGGACUUACAGAUAUCUAGUUGCCAGUUGAAUUGGGAACACGAAUUCAGCAGAGGACACAGGUAAAGUUUUGUCCUUUGCAAAUUUCAUACAUAAUCCUUGUAAAGAGAGUUGAAAAACUCGAAACCAUAAGGGGAACACAUUUAGAAAUGAUACUGGAAGCGGGUGACGGAAGUUACGGGUUCGAGUUCGGGUUGCUUUGGGUGGGCCCGGGUGGCGGAUGAGCGUGGGGAAGAAGACGACGAUGGGGCUGGCACCUGGGCGGAGGAGUAAGUCAUGGCGUUCUACUGAGGAAGUGAGUUGCUUCAGUACACGAUUCUCUUUUCCAGCCUGCGUAAGGCCCGCUAUCCUAGGUUCCGCCUAGACGAACUUGGGCUCCGCCUAGCCCGCUUAAACCCGAUUCGGCCUUGGCCCAAGUUUUCUGUUUGGGCUUGUCUUUCAUUUUUUUUUUAAUGCUUGACUGUCGGCCAGAUAGUGCCAAGCAACACCAAGAAAUGUUCAUAUUUUACAAACUAUUGGAAUAGACGAAUAGUCCAAGGCUCAAAGCUGAAAAAACUAUAUAUAAAUCUCACCUUUCAUGCUUGACUUUGGAAGUUGAUAACUACUAUCAUGUCGUCAUCACCAAGAAGGGACAACCCAGCACAGUAUCAGUAUGCAAACUAUAAUGUUAAUGGAGACUAGCUAGACAGGACGACAUUUUUAAAUACUCACUUCCAUGUUUAUAAGGGCAAGCUUCGUAGCAGUUGCCUUGUUAAGCAUUAACUACAACAUGUUAUAUGUAGUACUAUCCAUUCCCAUGCUGCUAUGCCUUUCGUAAUUCCAAGGAUGUGUAUGAUCAGGCAACUCUGUUCACUAGUGGUGGGAAUGAUCGUAUUACGGUCUGUACCAACAGCAACCGCAGCACCACCACCACAUGCCCUGCCACGGUGCACCGGAAACUGUGGUGCCCUCCCAAUUCCAUAUCCAUUUGGGAUAGGCGAUGGAUGUUACCUUCGACCAGAGUUCAACAUCACUUGUGACCAAUCCACCACACCCCCAUCAGCAAACCUCACGAACACUACUACUUCUAUCACCCACUUCUCCAUUGUCGAGGGUGAGUUGCAAGUACUGCAGGCUGUGGCCCAAGAUUGCUAUGACGACAAGGGUGUACUCAUAAACAACAAACCAAGUAGCCUGGAGUUACCUUUUCCUUAUACAAUUUCUGAAAGAAACGAGUUCUAUGCUGUUGGAUGUAAUAGCAUAGCAACGUAUCAAGGUACUAGAAUCUUGGGGCCAGAUGAGGAAGAAAACUCGGGGAACACUGUGACAGUGUGUGAAAAUAGGCUAGGAAAAGAGCUUCCCGCGGUUUGCAACUUAUUUGGGUGUGCCCGGAGUUCUGUCCCGGCUGGACUACACAACAUUUCAGUGACACUGGCUGCACUGGGUUCGCAACGAAGGGUUAAUGACAGCUGGAACGUCAAGUACCCCUGCAGCUAUGCCUUCAUUAAUGAACAAGACAAUUUCACAUUCGCCGAAGCUAGAAGUUUUCAGCAACUGCAAACCACAAGGCAGCUACUUCCGGUGAUUCUUAAUUGGGUGAUUGAUACUCGGGUGACUGGGGAGAAGUCAGACACAUGUGAUAAAGCUCUAUUAAGGGAGGAUUAUCCGUGCAAAGAAAACAGCAGGUGUAUCAAUCAGCAAAGACAGUUUUUGCAUUAUAGACCUGUCAAUGUGCCUGUAGGUUACUUGUGCCAGUGCUUGCCAGGCUACGAAGGGAAUCCAUACGUCGGUUGCCGAGGUAAUGACGAUUCUUUCUUUGAACUAUAUACAAAUACAGAUCUGCUAUAAUGUGUGCGUUAUGUGUUACAUAUGUGCGUGUGCGCGUGCACAUCAAUCAAUUUGUUAGUUGCUCCUGCCUGCUGCAGAUUUUUUUUUUUUUUUUUUUUUGGCGAAUGGAUAGUUAUAUUAAACCAACAAAGAGAAAUACAACAACAAUACAAUAGUCAACAGACCCAACACACUGGGCCAAGACCAGAGUAAGACAGAAACAAAUGGACUUAAACCAGGCAAGCCCAAAGAUACAAUUGCAUAACAGCAAACAGAGGACCCAAGACCUACUUCCACGACAGCGCCGCCGACCACAAAACUGGAGUCGCGAUCCGGCAGAGAUCGGAGAAGAAGGCAAGAGAAACUUGCUGCACCUUCAUGUAUCUGAGUUCCAAACAAGCACCAAGCCAACUGCAAUCCAAAUAAGAAAACAUGAAAAUCAGACCUCAAACAAUCUUCGUGAGGAAGAGCUUCUUCUGCCAAGAUAUCAACUAGACAAGCUAGAUGAAGAAAGAGGGAGGUUAGAUCCGUAUAUGGAUCAAAGAGACAGGCACAAGUGCAAGCAGUCCCUUGUAGCAUCCCCCGGUGCUCAAUCGGGAUAUACCCUACUCGAUUUAAGCUCCUAGGAGCAUAUUUACAGGAAUCGGCAGAUUGAAAGAGAUAAGAGCCGCCACCAUUGGCGACCCGCAAUGAGAACACCAAGUUUGAGGAGGAGAAAGUCAGAUCUGGAAAAAAGAGGGCAUGGGACAAGAGGAACUGACCGAGACGAAGAAGACAAAGAAAGAUAACAGACCAAACAAAGUAACCGGAAAGCCGAAAGGAGAGGCAUAUCGCCUCAGAUCGGAGUAGAACUCCGAGGAAAACCGGCCAAGACGGCUGGAGGAUAGAUCCUAACAAGGGUGGAACCGAUAUAGAAGACAUACUUCUAGAUAAGGGAAAUAACAAGAAAGCAGGAAAUUGAGAGUCUCCCCCGAUUCUUAAGCCA
rnacentral:lncRNA from 1 species